rnacentral:lncRNA from 1 species
GAGAAAAUUGAUUGGAGCAAAGCACCAUUUUUGGCUUAUUACAAGGAUUUUGACAUUGAAGGGUGUCCAGUUCCAGGGCCAGCAAAUUGUGCUAGUAACCCUAGGAACUGGUGGGAAGGUACUGCUUAUCAAGCUCUUAAUGCCAUGGAAGCUAGGAGAUACAGGUGGGUUCGGAUGAACCACAUGAUCUACGAUUACUGCACCGACAAGUCUCGGUACCCGGUCACCCCACCGGAGUGCAUGGCAGGUAUAUGAAGUACUAUCAAGAGUUCCCAUUAUUCCAUAUCCAACUGAACUGUCCAGAAUAUUUGAUAUACCAAUAUGUUACUUGUCAUAUAUACUUUGAUGUAUAUGCCUCCCUUUGUACCAUAAUAGCUAUAUGUAUAUGCUAUAAGAGGGCCAUGCAAAAAUUGGGGUUAUAAAGGGAAAUAAAUUGUGAUCGGGUGUGCAAAUAUUUGAUUUUAAAACUUGUAUUUAUUAUUAUUAUUGUAUUAUCCAAUUCAGAGUUUGCAGGCCUAAGACAAAACUACUUGCUGCUUCAUUUUACGGGUUGAUGAAAACAAGGAAAGAGUGAAUGUUAGAAAUUCAAAAUUAGUGUUUGAAGUAAUUGGCUUUCAAUUGAUUUUCAGAAUGGUCCCCUUUUGUUUUGGUUUUUCCUGUUAUUCACUUUAAAUGUUUGGCUAGAAUUUGGCUCAUUUUCGUCGUCCCCGAAGUGCAUAAAAAGCUCAUAAUGGUCCCAGUGUGAAGGGAUACUCCUCGCAUCCUUCACUUCUAAUACCAUAUUUUUUUGUUUGGAAUCAAUUAAGGUGGGUUUAGAUGGACGUUGCAUUUAUUUGUAGUUAGUGUAAAAACAGCGAUAACAGUGAGAUUAGAUACUAUAAUGAUACUAUAGUAUGAGAUAAAAAAGUAAACUAAACGUGCACCGUCCAUCCAAAUCCAUAUUUAAUUUAUUUUCUUGGAGAAACAAAAAUUUUGUACUUUGAAAUAAUUCUCUUUCAAUUAUUUAAUACAAUCACUUUUAAAGGUGAUAUUUAAUAAAUGUUUAUUUGAAUUUUACAUUUAUAAUUAUUUCUUUUAUGCUUAGGUCUAUGAAUUUUAGGAUAUACCAUAUUAUAACAAGCUUAAUUAUGUAAAAAUUAAAUGUAUAAAAAAUAAAUAAAAUUUUGAUUGAAAUAAUAAAAUUAAAGGUUUGAAGACUCUAGUGUUUUAGAUUUAAUUUUUUUCUAGAUUUAUUUUAGAUUUAGAUUGAUUUUUCUAGAUUUUAUAAGAAGAAAUAAAAAUAAUCUCCUAAUAAUAUUUAUUAUUUUGUAAAAUAGAUAAAAUUGUUAAUUAAUUUUUAAUUGAGUUUAUAUUACGAGUUAAGUGAACCAAAUAUGUAAAUAUGUAUUACAUUAUGGUACAAGAUACGGUUAAAAAAUUAUAUAAAAAUUAUAUUUAUAAAAAAAAUUAUUUUAAAACUAAAUGAAAUUUUAGUUGAAAUCAUCAAAAUUUUACCAUUAAUGGCUCAUGGAUAAAGGAGGAAAAUUUUCAAGUGCGAUUCGCUAAAUCUUUUGGUCGUUUAAUUUGAUAAUUUAGUAAAGUAUAAAAUAAUGGGGAUAGAGAAAAGAAUUUUAGAUACCCACCUUUUUGGUCAUUGAGCACAACAAAGGGGUUAUAAAUUAUAAUUCAUGAUGACAGCUCACAUCCUCAAGGAAAUAAACAACUUGGCAGUCUAGGGUUAUUUACUAGGAUUUUUACAGUCUAGGUCCCCACUAGGCAUAAAUUCUCGUAUGACCCCCAAUUGAUUGCCUUCUGGAGGCAAACACCAUUAAAGCUAAGAGAGAAAGGGCCAUCCUUUGAUGCCGCAGCAAAGCUACAAUAUCUUCCACAACUCCAUUCUCAUUAGUCCAUAUUUAAACAUGAAUAAAUUCCCAUGCAAGAAGUCCCAAGUGUGAAUUAUUUAGUAAUUUGAACUUUGUGUUCUGUCGUUGCAGCCAAUAUGUUGGAAUAACGAGUGAAACAAAACAUGCUUGAAUUCCAGCUAAAAGCAGUCAUUUAAUAGAGGUAACAUAUUGUUGGAUCAUUUAAUAGAGGUAACAUAUUGUUGGAAUAUGACAUACCAGUGGCAAAGAAAUGAAUGUGUUGGGACAAAGAAUCUAAUAUUCAAGGAAACUCUACCAAUCAAGUGAAACACUUUUGAUCAAAGUAAAUAAUGCCUUAGAUAAGUCAGGACAAAACAUAAAGAAGGGAAUGCCACAAAUCAUUGUUGGUCAUAAGGUAAUAGUAUAGUGCUAGUGGGCACAAACCUACAUUGAAUGCUUCUUAUUUCAGCAAAACGGAAUUGGUUUUAGGUACCUGCAUGGACAAGAGAAGCUUUAAUCUUCAGAGUUUUGCUGCUUUGGCAGUAAUUGAAAUUCACACGCCUCUUCUGCUCGUGAAAGGGUUCUCCGGGACAGGAUGGAUCAGCUUAGGAUCAUAGAUUAUGACUUAUAAGAUCUUUAAUUCUUUGUGGCAUUGAUUUUCACUGCAAUUGGCUCUGAGCAAUAAGGACAAUUUCCAAACAGAACAUUGAAUGACCUGCAACACAAGAUUCACAACCAUAAAUCAAGCAACCAAGUUGCCACGGACGAAAUUGAAGAUAAGUUUGUGCUAAUAUCUUUUCAUAAACUAAUUGCAAAUAAUCAAAGCUAAUUUGAAUGUGAGGUAUGUACAAGCAAUAAGGCAAAUUCAAAGGCAACCCGGUUUACUAUGAAUGAAAAGUCAAGUACCAUGAAUCAUAUAACUUGAAGGGUCAUUUGCCAAACGACACUCUCAAAAGGUAAAAAGAGAAAAAGGCACUAUAUCACUAUCUUAGCAAACCUUAACACACCAUUUAGUCUAACGGACAAAAGUAGCUCCGACAAUUUAUUGGACAACGUUUUGGAUAAUGUACUAGUGCCUUCAAAAGCUUGGAAAAACAUAGCCCCUUCAACUUUCAUGUAGGUCCGUCUUGAUCAGACUCCAGAAAUAGUGCUACCAUACAUAGUUGCAACUGAAAAAUAUGAGGCCAGUAACGGUCGAUCCUACCUCUACUAAAGGCUACUAGUUGUAUCAAUAAGAUAUAAAGGAGGACACAUAGACGAGUAUCAAGUGACCCAACUUGUUUGCAGGUUUGAUCAUUCAGGUAGACAGGUAGCCCAAUGCCAAAAGCAGGAAAUUCCGCAAGCAAUUAAUUUUGAAUUGAUCACAGCACAUAGUGGACAGGAAUAAAAUUAUACUCCGACACAGUGUAGAUUAAAAGAUACAAGUACACUAAGAGCUCCACAUACUGCCUUGUCGUCGUGAUCGACCUUAACCAGUCCACUAGGCACAUGCUGUGGAAAGCCUUACUACAACUAUUAUUCUCACAAGUGUAAUCAGUUGCACUUCCAGUCUGAGGUCCAAGCUCAUCACCUACAGGAACAUUUGAGAAUUAAGUCUCAAAACAAUAGUUCAGAGACAUCUAAAGCAUGUGAAGCAUUACCAAUGGGGAGAUAUUGAGCAUAACAGAUUCCACAUUCAUCUAGAUGAUUGUUGGUCUCUGCAUCAGCAAGCCUUGGCAAUUGGGUGUUCAAAAGACACUCAAGAUUUUCUAAAAAGGCUUUGUCCCUCUCCCUAAACAAUUAAUCAGACUAUGUAAAGUUAGUACAAUGGAAUGAAAUCUACCCCUUAUACAACACGAUGUUAUAAGCUUCUAUCCUCUUAAAUUAGAUGGAAGACUUCAAGGCUCCAAUUUCAGGCAUUCUCUGUUUCUAGAGAAGGAAUUAACAGAUUGCAUGCAGAAAAUUACGCGACUCGGUAAUUUUCUUCCUCCACUGUUAACCACACGUUCACUUCACUAGUACAAAAGUUAAAAAUUUAAGAUGAGACUCAAGGGCAUACCAUUUAUCAACAUUUCUUUUCCAUGUCUUUCUCAAGGAGUUCACAGUAUUACCUAAACCCAUAAAACGACACCUACAAACACGUAAAUAUUCGUUAUUCAUACUGAACAAAACCAACUUGCUAGCAGCUUUUAAUAUAAUUUUAUAUGAAUUCUUACUCUGGUAAUGAUCUAGGAUCAUUGUUAUCGAUGAACAAUAUGAUGAAGCAACCAUUUCCUGAGUAGCAAAUAGUUAAACCUUGUGUUCAGUAAUAAAGGAGGGGGCAAGAAAAUUUUAAUGUACAUAAAAGAAGACGGUAUGAAGUAAUGACUCACCUACGUGGAUUUGGCGACUCGGAAUGGCUCGAGAUGCUUGCUUUGAAUCAACAAUCUGAAGGGACCUGUCAAUUUCAUCCAAAGUAGACCAGAAUGCUUGAAGCUUCUCCAGAUGCUGGAUACAAAGAGAAAACACCUAAGUUCUAAUAAUAGUUAAACAUGCCAUGGCACCAAAAAUAUGUUCUGAAGCAGAAUAGAAUUACAUUGGGUUCAAAAAUGUCGAAGCAAAUACCUUCUCAAACUGUUGUACCAAGUUUUUCAGUCUCGAGUUCAUUGACCAUUUUAAAUUGAAGACAUAGGGAACAUCCUGAGAACAAAGCAGAGUAAGAUAAAACACCUGUAGGACUACAUUGGAAAAAUUAAGACCAAAAAGAUAGGAGACAAACCGCUGAAACCAUUGGAGGAACUCUAGGAUAAGCUUUAUCCAAUUGAAUUUCCGUAACAUGCACUCUUCCCUUCUUAUCUCUAGCACCGAAAUAUACAAGAAGGAUAACAGGAUAGCAACUAGGAACAAAGAGGAUAACAUGAAAUAUAAAAGGAGAACAAAACUACAGAGGGUUACAAUACCAAUACCGAAGUUCGACAAUAGAAACAUCUUAACAGGUAUAUAGAGAUAUAUGGUGUACUGAGGAUUUUAUAACUCCAAUAUCAACUGUUUAUCAAUUUUCAGAAAAUAUAUUCAAGCCUUUAGGUUUCAGAUAUAGCCAAUUCUGUAUCAAUACCAUAUUAAAGAUAUAAAAGUACAUGACUAUAACAUUGAUAAGAAUGGAGUACAAAAAGAGCUAGUAAUGGAUACAGUAAGAACAAUUAAAGACAGCACCAAGCUGGAUAUUGCAGGUUAGUUACAUAACCCAGAUUAUCAUCACCAUCCUAAGAAAAUAUACAGGUUCCAUUCGUUUGCAGAAAACCAAAGGAUUAUCAUGAUUAUGUGACUAACCCUGGAAGUUGCACUAGCUGUUUACUACAAAAUCUAAUGCUCCAAAAACUUUCCCAUAUUAGAUGGAUUGUCAAUAAAAUCAAAAGUGUACUUACAAAACACGAAAAAUAAGGAAACUUAGGUCUCCUCCGGCCCUCACCAAAUGCUCCCAUCCAACCUCUUCUAUCUGUACAAAUAAAAGUAACUCAUCAAGAGAAACCAAACAAAACCAAUAAAAUGGUUGACAUUAGAAUAAAUAUAAAGGGAAAAAAAAAAUUAAAUGACCUCAGAGUAAACUGUACUAUAAAAUGAGGACGAUUUAGCCAACUCUCUACAUCUAGCCUGUUGAUUAACUUCCUGCAAGCAAAAAAGGACUCAAUAGCAAAAUAAAUGUCUAGUAAUUUCAAGCCAACCAAUUGGUUUUGAUUAUUUUAUGUCUACAUUUAUAUCUAUUAAACGAUAAAGUUUGAAUACCAGAAAGCAUAAGACCCUAAAUUCUUUCAGGCAUCUUCACAAACAAUUCAUCAAAAAUUGUGAAGAUCAAGCAACACAAGUGGGCAACAAGAAAGCGCUGAAAGAAAAUAAAAUUACCAUUAGCUCCUCUUCUCUAAGGAGAAGAAAGAACGGGAAACGCUCCGUUAACGUUUGGCUGGUGCUGGUAUGGUGACGGCGGCUUGAGCAGCGUUUGUAGCGGCGGUUUCAGGCGUUUCUGCUUUGCCCCUCUUUGGCGCUGUUUUCUGGUUGGUUUAGGCGCGAAAGUAUUUAGAUUCUUUACUUGAUGGACCGGCAUCGGAUCGGCUGUGGAUCGGGCCUAUGCAUAUGUUAUUUGUUUUUUUAAUAUAAUUAUUAUAUUUAAUAUUUAACAUAAAUAAUUAAUAUAUUUAAUUUUUUUUCUAUGGUAUAAAUUAAAUAAUAUAUGAAAUAAAAUUAAAUUACAUAUCAUAAACUUAAAAACACGUGGGGCGAAGCCAGAAAAUUUUUUUAAGAUGUCAAAAUUAAAUUAUAAUUUUUAUGAUAAUAAAAAUACAAUUUUAAAAGGAUUAAAUCAAAAUUUUAUUAUUUUUGGAGGGCCAAAGUAUAAUUUUACCUUUACUAAUUUAAAAUUUUAAAGAGCUAAAAUAAAAAAUAUUCCAUUUUAGGGUGGCUAGCCCUUGCCAGCCCUAAAAACAUGUCUUACUUCAAUUUUAGAUAUUGAAACUUAAACACGUUUAUAUUUUAAACGAGAUUUUUGUAAAACCUUUUCAAAUUUCAGAUUCACAUUUAAAUUUGAAUAAAUAGUUUAAACCUUAAACAUGUCAAUCUACUUAUAUAAUUUUAAUAAAAAAUUAAAUGUUAAAAUUAUCUAAGUACUUUUCAUUUUAUUUUGUCAUUUUACAAAAUUAAAAUUAUUCAUAAGUCUUCAAUCUUUAAAAGUAAAAGGUAUUACACAUUUGGGCGUAUUUGAAUCUACAUCUUUCAAAUUAUUAUAUUACUAACACGUUAAUUGAUCUAAGACUCAAUUAUAUAUUAAUGGGUAAACUAAACCAUAGGUCACUUAGCUAUGUGCCAAUUUCCUUUUUGGUCACCCAAUUAAUUGGGUUUGUUUUUUGGGUUAUUUUCCAUUAAGUAACGUUAACUAUUUAUUGGAAGGGUGAGUUGGCAGCUUAAAAAUAAUAAAUUUAGCCCUCAACUUUUAUAUAUUGUGUCAAUUUAGUCAUGAUUUUUUAAAAAUAACCCUCAGUAUUGCAAAUUAUUUCAAUUUGGUCCUAAUUUAAAAAAAUAAAGGGAUAAUGGCAUGAAAGCCCCUUGUACUUUAAGGUUUGUUCUAAUAUUGUACCUACAAUUUCAAAAUGCCUAAUCAGUGUUGAGGGCUAAUUUUCAACUAAAUUGAAAUAAGUUGCAAUAUUAAGGUUUAAUUUAAAAUUUUUAUUUUAAUUCACAAACAACAAGUUAGAUUGAUACUUUCGUUUGUUGGUAGAUAAGAAAUUGAAAGGAAACUGGAAUAGGUGUAGAAACAGUAGAAAGUGGCCGCGUAUGUUGAUAGUUAUUAGGAUUCCCCACCUGUUUGGUGAUAAUUAUGAGAUUCGAAAUAAGACGAUAAUGUUAGGAGGGGCUAUCAUGAACCUCGAUCAUAAACUAUAAACAGACAUGAAUAAUUCAAAAAAAAAAAGUAAUUGAAGCUUUGGUCAUGUUUGUACUGGUAGUUGGGAUGUUUUGUCAAUUUCCUUUCUCCCUUUACACCAAAUGCGGUAAGCUUCGAACCUAAGCAAUAUCCUUGACAGAUUGAUCAAACAUCAUACCAAGACAAUCAACAGUUAUUUUAACUGCUAACGUCCCUUCAAAAGCUUCAAAAGAUCUGCCGGAAAAUCCUAUUUUUUCAGUUUCAGUUUUUAAAAAAGAAAACAGUUUGAGCCCCUUUUUUUUUUUCUCAACUAGCCUUGAGGUCUGGUGGCCGAAAUCCUCAAAGUGACUUUCCUUUUGACCGUUUCAGCUCCCAGAAUCCAAAUCUAGAGUCAAUCUUUCCAAAAAUUCAUCAAAGAUCGUAAAAAUCCUCAAAGAACCCUUUGAUUUUUGGGUUUCGAAAAACCUUUUCAUCAGAAAAAGAGUCAUCUUUCAUCGGAGAUGACGACCUCAUAGAGACAGUGAACAAGUACAAAAAAGUUCUAUUUUUAUUCUAUUUUUUGAAUAUAAAAAAAAGGAAAAUGAAUCACCUUUUCCUUUUAACCGUUUUUGUUCUUCGUAUUUUCUCUGUGUUCAUUACAAUUUGUUUAUUCGGCUUUUAUAGCCGGUUGAUUACAAAUAUUGUAUUUGUUUUUUUUUCUUUUUCUGUCCUGUUUCUUUUUCUUUGCAAGUGAUGGUGGAGGGUCAACGGCGACGAUGGGAGUCGCUCCUUAGCCAUUUUAGUGAAACAAUGGCAGAGCGGCAGACCUCGGGGUGCAGGUGUCUUCGGGCGAAGUGCCCACUGACGUGGCAAUGAGCGGCGGCUCAAAAGGGUCCAGGUUUUUUUAGUUUUCUGAAAGAGCUUAGGUUGUGGGAUUUGGGUUAUUUGGGCUUUUAGGGUUUUGUUUAUAUUCGGGCUAGUAAUUUGGGCUGGCAUAUUUUGUAAAUGGACUUUUGUUUAUUUUAGUUUUUUUUAGGGUUUAUGGUGGGCCAGGCAAAAUUAGGUUGUUACAUUUAGCAACGACCUUAACCUCUCUGUUGACACCAUUUUUUUGGAUGAAAACGGGGUCGACUUAGAUUUUGAAAAUAAAACGAAAAAUGGGAGUCGCCACCAAUCUUUUUUGAUGAGGUGUGAUCGGGUCACCUCGUAAAACGGUUGUUUUUAAUAAACGAUUUAGAUUUUAUUAAAACAAUGAUUUUUGUCUACGAAAUUCAGAAAAAUGGGUUCGGGAGUCGGUUACGCACGAGGAAGGAUUAGCACCCUCGAUGCGCCCAAAAUUGGUACCUAGUUGAUUAAUUAGUGUCUUAGUGUCGAAAAUUGAAAAUUUGAAGAGUUUUUAAAAAAAAUACGAUCCUUAAAAGAAACUCUGAUAACGUGAAUUGAAAUAUAAGAUUCUCUUGUUCCGAAGGAAUAUCACAUCCAGCACGUUAGGACACGAUACUCUAAACCAUCGAAACCAAGAUCAUCUUAUAGUUUAAUGAAACCAUACUUUGAAGAUUUAAAAGGAUAUUUGGCUAUUUAAUCGAACGAGAAAUCGAAACCCAGCACGUUAGAGCACGUUUUCUCGAUUUUUCUAAAUACGAAAUAUUACCUUUAUUAUUGAAAGUUUAAAAGGGUAUUUGGCCAUUUGGUCGAACGAGGAAUCGAAACCCAGCACGUUAGGGCACGUUUUCUCGAACUUUCCAAACGCAAAAUAUUGCUUUUACGAAAGAAUUAUUUUCGUUGGGUAAUUAAUAUAAAUUCGUGGUAAAGUGGAAUAGCGAAAAAUGAGCAAACAAAUAUGAAUUUCGAUAUCAAUGAACAUAACAGAAUAAAAAUAAAUGCAUAAUAAGAAUGAUGAGAUCAGAAAUAGAGGAGUAAGACAAACAAGCAAUGUAAGAGAAUAAUAAAAGAUUAAUAAUAAUUAUAAUAGUAAAAAUAAUAAUAGUAAUAAUAGCUAAGUGGGAAAUAGUAACAGUACAUUAAUAAGACAAAUAAUAUAAUAAUAGUGAUAGCACUAAAGAAAAAAAAAUAUUAAUAAUAGUAAUAAAUAUAAUAGUAAUAAAUAGAAAAUAAUAGUACAUUAAUAAUAAUAGUAUAUGUUAAUAUCAAUAAUGAUAUGUAUAAAAAAGGGAAAUAAUAAUAUGGUAAAAAAUGUGUUAAUAAAAAUAAAAAUAGAAAUAAAAAUAAUAUUAAUAAUGAUAUUAAUAAUAGUAAUAAAACAGAGAAAAGAAAAAAAUAUAUAUAUAACGAUGAAAAGUAAUGAUAAUAAUUAUUAUAAUAGUAAUGAUAUAAAAUCAAUGAGGUAAUAAGCAAAUGGGUAUAAAAAGAAAAUAUAAUCAUAGUAAUAAUAGUUGUAGUAAUAAUAAUAGUAAGAAAAAUAGUGAUAAUAUAACAAGAAUAGUAAUAUAACAAGAGAAUAAUAAUAAUAAUAAUAAUAAUAAUAAUAAUAGUAAUGGAGAUAAUAAUAAUAAUAAUGAUACUAACAAUAAUAUAAAUAAAAAUAUAAACAACAAAGAAAUAGCAAUAGCAAUAAUAAUAAUGGAAUGAAAGUGAUAAUAAUAAUAGUAAAUAAUAUGCAAGAAAAUAAAAUACAAUUAUAAUAUCAUAAUGUUAAAUAAAAAAAGAAAAUACAAAAGAAAAGGACGAAAAGGGGCUAAUUUGAACUCUAGACAGAAAUUUGAGGCGAAAAUAAUAAUAAAAAAAGAAAUGGGGCCAAAUUGAAUUUAAAACAAGAGUUAGGGGAUAGAUUCGAAACAAAAAAAAAGGAAAGGGGAGGACCUACUAGAACACGUGAAUAACAUGGAGGGACUAAAAGGGAAAUAAUCCCAACCUUUAUGCGCAUUAUUUCAACAGGGACUCAAAUGUAAUUAGGAGAAAAUUAUGCGGCCAAAUUAAAAACAAUAAAAAGAAGAACAGGGGCCUAAUCCAAUAGCAGCGCAAAAGAGAAGGAUUGGCCACAUAAAUAACCCAUUUUAGGCGCAUAGGCUCUUUUCCUUUACCCAAACGGUAUUGUUUUAGUUUUAUUAUUUAAAUCAUACUUUUAUUUUGAAACCAUCCAUGCCUUUAUUUCCUUUUUUUUUUAUUUUUUUUCUAAACCUAGCACUUUCAGACUCCUCUAUCUCUUCUCCUUCCUUUCAGCCGACAAGGCCAUUCCCUGCUCGCCUGCACGCUGCCAUGGCCGGUGACCGAUGUUGCGGAGAAUGAGCUUUUACGCUCUGUCUUCAAAGCCUCUUUUGAAGGCUAAACUUUCAGCAAACAAAGAACGAGAAAAAAAAGAGUUCUUUGUCCCUUUGCCGAACUCGAUUACAACGACGGAGAAAUCACUCCGACGCGAGCUCAAAGGGAUUCAGGUGAGCCAUUUUCCUUCCUUUUAGUUUUUGCUUAAACAGAUUCGCGAAGAGAAAAAAAAAUAAAAGAAAAUACAAAAGAAAAAAACUAAAUAAAAAUAAAAAAAAGAACCAAGAACACCUUUUAGUUUCCAAUCUUUCUUAGAUUUGCUUGUGUGCGUUUUGAUUUCUAAUACCUGUGUUACAAUCUUUCUUUUUGUAAAAAAAAUAAAAACCCCCCUUUUCCAAAAUACAAUCCGUCCUCCUUUUCAAAAUUUCUCCCUUCGGUUUUAUAAUCGAUUACAAUAACAAUAAAAAUGCNNNNNNNNNNNNNNNNNNNNNNNNNNNNNNNNNNNNNNNNNNNNNNNNNNNNNNNNNNNNNNNNNNNNNNNNNNNNNNNNNNNNNNNNNNNNNNNNNNNNNNNNNNNNNNNNNNNNNNNNNNNNNNNNNNNNNNNNNNNNNNNNNNNNNNNNNNNNNNNNNNNNNNNNNNNNNNNNNNNNNNNNNNNNNNNNNNNNNNNNNNNNNNNNNNNNNNNNNNNNNNNNNNNNNNNNNNNNNNNNNNNNNNNNNNNNNNNNNNNNNNNNNNNNNNNNNNNNNNNNNNNNNNNNNNNNNNNNNNNNNNNNNNNNNNNNNNNNNNNNNNNNNNNNNNNNNNNNNNNNNNNNNNNNNNNNNNNNNNNNNNNNNNNNNNNNNNNNNNNNNNNNNNNNNNNNNNNNNNNNNNNNNNNNNNNNNNNNNNNNNNNNNNNNNNNNNNNNNNNNNNNNNNNNNNNNNNNNNNNNNNNNNNNNNNNNNNNNNNNNNNNNNNNNNNNNNNNNNNNNCACUUGUUUCAAACUGCCAAAUAGAGUAGAAAUAAAGUUAAGAUAUAGUGUGAUAGUUCACGUUGAUGUAAUAUUAUUUAUUUUAUAUGUUAUAUGAAUUUUUAUGCGAAUUAUUAUAUUUAAAAUUUAAUGUUAAACUUUUAUAAUUUUGUCUAAAAUCAAUAAAGAUCCUUUUUUCAAAAGAUGAUUAUAUUCAAUGUUUGAAGUUCAAAAAGUGUUUGAUGAUGAAAGUGAUGACGAUCAUGAUGAUAGAUGGGGAAGAAGAUGAGCAAUGAGAGAGGCAGAGUAAGUUUCCCGGAAAGCUACCCUAAUUAUUUUCCAGGAAAGUGCUGUGAUUUAGGGCAUCAAAUUAAAAAAUAAAUAAUGAUAAUAACAGUUUUGUAGUAGUAGAAUUUGACAAGGAAAAGUUUGUGAUUCAUUAAUAAUGUUACUGUCGAGUGUGAACAGUGGACAGCAAUCAUGAUAGCGUGCCUGUAACGAUUACAUGCAUUUAACUAGUUAACUCCAACAGAUAUUUUUAAGUGUAAGUUUACGAUAAUUUAAAUUUUAAAAGCUGUAAAUUAGUCAUUUAAUUAUUUAAAAAUUUAUUUUUAAAUUACAGACUGUUAAAAUUGUUAUUGUAUGAUACUUUUUUAUUUAUAUUGAUGGAUAUUGAUCUACUAUACUGAUCGUCGAAUCGUCACUUGAAGCUUGCUAGCCGGACUUUAAAGAAAAAAACUUAACAGCUCAAUGACUUAAAUAAAAACUUUCAAAUAGUUUUAGUGAACAUUUGUUUCUUUUUGAAGUUUAAUAGUUAAAACGUAAACUUAUUAAUAAUUUAAUGACCUAGGUUGCAGUUUGCCCAUAUUCUUUUUAGCUUUGAGGUAAUUAUAAAUUAGGAAUAGGAAAAGUUUUUUCAACAUUAAAUCCCUUAAUGCCCAAUCUAAUAAAUGUCGGUAAACUGAGAUCAGAUUCCUUUUAUGGUAAAGUGGAAUAUGUAACUUUUUCUAGUUGAGAUUUUGGAAUUUUGAUAAAAAGAGGGUCUAUUUGAGAAUUGGAGUGUCUUUUUAGGGGUCCGUUAGUAAUAAAAAUGUCUCAUGUGCCAUGGGGAAAAUCUCCAUUAUAAUGAUUGUGAAAAAAGGGGUUGAGUCAUUGGGACAUCAGGUGGAUGCAUGACCCAUCAGAAAAAAAAAAUAAACUCUACAUUUAUAGGGUAAAUUGUACUAAAUGUCAUUAAAUUAUUAGUAAGUUUAUGUUUUGGUUAUUCAACUUCAAAAAGUUACAGAAUGAUCACUAAACUUUUCAAAAGAUUUUAUUUAAGUCAUUGAGGUGUUAAAAUCAAUAUUGUAUGACAUUUUCUAUUCGCACCACCUGUACUAAUAAAAAACUCUCAUUUCAUGAAAUAGCUUUGAACGUCAUGAAUCUAUAUCAAAAUCCAAACAACUUUCUUUUUUGUUCUCCAACACUAUAAGGUAUGUUAUUCUAAUUAACAAUGUGUACUAAUCCCACCAUAUCAUUCAUCGAAUUGUAGCUUAGAGCUCACUAGCUAGACUUUUUUUAAAAAAAAAAACUUAAUAGCCUAGUGAAUUAAAUAAAAUUUUUUGUAUAGUUCAUUGAUUUAAAUGAAAACUUUUAAAUAGUUUAAUGAUUAUUUUGUAACUUUUUAAAAUUAAAUGAUCAAAACAUAAAUUUACUAAUAUCUACUGACCUUAGGUGCAAUUUACGCAAAAAUAUAUAACAACAAUCAAAAUGUAGUUAUAAAGUCGUUUUUUUUAUUUCACUGACAAUAUAAAAUAAUUGAUUUUCUAUUGUGCCUUUUCGCUUUUCAAGUGAAUUAUCCCUUCGUCUCUUUGUCUACACGUUUCUACACCAUUUUUUUUUGUCUUUUUUGGUAGAAUUCUAAUUUUGAUCCUCUGUUAUCCUUAAGGAUUUAAAUUUAUAUUUAAUUUGAUGUAAUUUUGUUUUUAAUUUUUAUAACGUUUGGUAGUUAAUUUAAAUAAUUAACAUUGUUAAUUAUUUUAAUUAAAAUAUAUAUCUGAAUUUUUUCCUUAAAAAACUAAACGCUCAGUCCAAUUUAUCUUACUAAUGGAAUUAAUGUUUUUCUUUAGUUUACGUCAAUAUUUUUAUCUAAAUAAUUAACGAUGUUAAUUAUUUAAAUUAAUUAAUGAUGUAUUAAAAGUAUAAGAUUUAUAUCUCGAAAUUAAAUAAUAGAAUGCUUAUAAUUAUAAUGGUCGGUAUUUGGUACACUGACAAUAUACUUUUUUUCACUAGUAAUCUUGAAAAAUUGACAUGUAUUUUUUAAAAAUAUUUUACUAUAUCUCUAUAAAGCAUUUGUCAACCUUGACUCAAUUUGUAAAAUCUAAAAUUCCACAAACAAUGUAUCGAAUAUUAUUCAAAUUUAUAAUUUAAAUUUUCUUUACCCACUUUUUUUUUGGCUUUCUAAUUUUAUUCAUAUAAAUUUUGAUAUAAUCAUAUAAUUAUAAAAAUAUAUUUAUAUGGGUUCUACUUUUCUAUUAAAUUAGAGACAAAUACACAUGAUCUAACCUCCUUAGCCACACACUUUUCCUUUCUCACUUAAAUCAUAAUUUAAGUUUAUUCAUAAAAUUAGAUUCUGUAAAAAUGUGAUCAGCGUGAUAUAAUUUUAAAAUGUUACUUUAUUAAUCGUUAUAUUUUUUUUAUGAAAUUUAAGUUUAAUGAUUAAGAUAUGCUUAAUUGUCAAAUUUAAGUAUCAAAAUCGAUAAAAAGAAGUAUGUCUAAUUAGGUAAAAGUACCAUGAAGUCUUUGUAUUAAAAGUUGGAUUGCAUUUUAAAUUCUUUACUUAAAAAAAUUGGCAAAAUUAGCCACUAUACAUUAGAUCAAAGAGUAAACUAGCUAUUUUGUUAAAAAUUUCAUCUAUUUCUACUAUUAAAAAUUGAUUUUUAUAUAUCAGCAUGAGGUAUACAUAACGUGUAACUGAUUAUUAUGUUAACCAUUCUAAUUUUUUAAAUAAAAAGUACAAUACGUAAUCUAACUCUUACCACCUAAUUAACCAAAUUCAUAAAAUUCAUAGGAGAAAAAUCUUCUUCUUUAUUUGAAACACCCAAAAAGGUGGAAACCAUUUACACCAUGGAAAUGGAAUGACCCUUUCAUUUUGUUUUCAUGAUAUUUUAUACUAUGCCAAAUAAAGACUAUAUAUAUUACUAUGACAUUUGUGUUAAGCAUGUAUGUAAGAAGAAGUUUCAAAGCAAGUGUAUUUGUACCCCCAAAAUGUUUGAAAAAUGUUUGAAAAGAUAGUCAAUUAAUGUGAACAUAAUUAUUAUUUAUCUUUAAAUAUUUUAAAAUAAAAAGAAAAGAAAAAUCAAACCAAAGUUGUCAUCAUCAAAUAAUCUUCUUAUCUUUUCCUUUUUAUAUAUUCAUUGUUCCAAACAUAGCCAUGUAAUUAAAAUAAGAGGGCAAAAUUUUGAUAUAAACAAGUAUACCAUUAAAUAAAAGAAUCAAUAAUAAAUACAAACAUAAUCCCUUCAUACAUACAACUACUAUAUCUUAUAUUAUUUACAAACGUGUUGUAAUUAUACUUUUUUGUUUUUCUGUUUCUACAAAUUAAAAUAAUUGACUAAUUAAUUAAUUCACUACAAAGCCCUUGUUGGGGUCUCUUCAACAUGCUGCAGAAGGAUUGGUUAAGGGAUUAUUAUAGAAAUGGUGAGUCUUGGAAGCCAAUGAAAAUAGGUUCUUGGAAUUCCCAUCGCCGUCGCUAACACCGCCGGCGGCGGCGGUUCUUUCACAAGACGGACAUAUGGUGAGGGUAGCCGCUUGCAUGUGAAACGGAUGAGCUGCUAAUUUCAGUGCUUUGAGUUCUUGAACUUCUUUUUGUAGUCUCCUGUUUUCAUCUGUUAAUGUCUCGUAACAUUUUUUUAAAAACUCACAGUCCACUUCAGUUUGCUUCUGCUUUGUCCUGUCCAAAGAUAAAAAAAAAAAACCCAAUGAUUUGGAGCUGAUAAUAUCAACAAAUUACAAAACCCAGAUUAUGUUUUGUUUGUUUUACCUUGCUCUCCUGUUUUGAAACCAUACUUCAACUUGUCUAGGUUUCAAGUUUAAUUGCCUUGCUAAUGCUUGUUUUUGCUUCUGUCACCAUAAAACACAGUAACAAAACAUCAAUUCUAUGUAUAUGUAUGUAUAUAUAUAUAUGUAUGAAACUGAAUGAAAGCCUACGGGAUUGAGAGUGCUGUGUUGUUUAAAGCUUUCUUCAAGAAGGGAAGAUUGUUCUUUAGAGAGACGAAGUUUCUUUCUUCCAUUAACAGUACCUUCUUCAUCUUCAUCACUGCUAAGUUCUCGUUCCCUUUUGGGUUUAUUACCACUUGAAAACGAAGAAACACCGCUAAGAGGCGAAGCUGGUUUCACGCCACCGGCGACGCCUGAGAGAGCCAACGUCAACGACGGUUCAUCGUUUGGUUCAAGCUUGAGAAAAGAUGGGUUUUUGUUGUAGGGUUUGGAUGGUGUUUGUAGGGUUGAUGAGAAGCCUAAACUAAGAACAAGGCCUGUAUUACAUGAAUCAUCAACACCCAUCAAGCUGAAUUUUUUUUUUUUUUGGUUUCAACAAUGGAGUUUUUCGAUAUAAUGAAGGAAAGAGAAGGGUGGAAUGAAUCGUAUUGAUUUUUGAUAUAAUGAUAUAUCAUUGUUCUUAUUCUCUCCCUGUGUAUAUAUAUACACACACAAAGGUUGACCAUUUGAAAGGCUAUGAUUAUGAUAUUCUCUCAAUAUAAUUAAAAAAUAAAAAAAGUAAAAUUUCCUGUUGAAACUAUUAGCAAUGGGGGGGGGGGGAACACAUCAAGAGAAUGAUUCUUCAGCACUUGUCCACUUGUUCAACACCAAUAGUUUAAAAUUAAAAAAAAAUUGAUUUAGGUUAAAUUUUGCUAUUAAUUCAUGUACAUUUUCAAUUUUUAUAGUUUUAAAAUUUUGAUAUUUUAGCCUUGGCUAAACGGUAGUUAUUAAAUUCAAUAAGUUAAGUUUUAUUACUUUUAAAAUUUGAUGCGGGAAACAUAUUAUCAUAUGUGUAACGUUAUAUCAGAUUGCUAUUUUUAUAUGUUACUCAGAAAAAAAGUAGGUAAUACAUUUAAUGACUAUCGUUUACAUUAAGAUUGAAAUUUCGAAAUUCAAAAAAUAUAGUGACUAAGAAUGAUUCAUUUGGAGAACAUUAACUAAACCUAUAACUUUACGUAUAAUACAAAACUAAUAGUAAAAUUUAUUUAAUCAAACACAUUUAACUAUUACUGUCUAAUUGAGAUUAAAAUUUUAAAAUAAGAAAAGUACAAACACUAAAUUCAUAAUUUUCAUAAAGUAUAGGGUUUUUUUAAUAAUAGAAUUUGACUAUUAUUUUUCAUGUCCAUGAAUUUACAAAUUUUUAAUUCAUAAAUAAUGCUUGGGUUGGAUGCCAAGCAAUUUCAUCCAACACUAAUUAUAAAAAGAAAAAUCAAAUGAAUCAUUGGGUGUGUUUUGAUAACUUCAUAUGACCCUCUUUUUGGGUUUAAUUCAAAUAAAUACUAUCCAAACCUAAAACUAUAUAAUAAAGAUAAAGAUAUAAUUAAUUGGAACAACAACUGAGACAUAAAAAAUUAUGGGAAUUUUGUUGUCAUUCUGGGAUUUUAAUGGUGUCCCCCUGGACCAGCCAAUUUUAUAUUUCAAAAAGGUGUGUGGUGCCAUUGGUUCCACGAUAUAUGAUGGGCUAGUUUUAUCCUAUAGUUUAGUAUUUAUUUAUUUUCUAAUUAAUUAAAAUUUGCACGAGCCGAUCAAAAUUGAAAACUUGGAUUAAUUUUAUUGUUAUUAAUCAAAUUGAAAUGUAGGGUGUUCGAUUAGUCAAAUUGGUUCGUGCAAAUGAUUAUGAAAUUGGGAUUGGGUUGAACUUGGUGUGUGCCUGUGUGUACGGACGGUGACCACACAAAAACAUGUAUUAUGGAAACAGUGGAAUCGGCCAAACCCCAAUAACCCAAUCGUAUGUUUAAUCUUCACCUCUAAGAUAUUGAGUGGAGAGAAGGAUAAGUCAACUUUUAAACUUGUCGUUUGCUUGAAAUUUCUCACUUGAUUUUUUCCCGAGAGAAUUUGAAAGUUAGUCAUGCAAAUAUAAAUACGGUGAGACUUGAAUUUAAAUAUUUAAUAUUCAAGGUUUGUAUCUUAAUUGAUAAUAUUGACGUCCUAUUGGUAACUAUUUAUUAAUGUUAAGUUAAACUAAUAUCGGCAACGAGACUUUGGUAUCUUUUAUAAAGGUCAAUGGUGCUUUAAGUGUUUAUGUUAAGUCUCACCAUGUGUCAUACCAUAUGUAUGGUUCUCCCCUUCAAUUUUUCUAGACUUUAAUAAGGAGCAAAGCCUAAAUAAAAAUUACUUUUGGAGGCCAUGAAUAUAAAUUUUUGGAGCGAUCAAAAUGUAAUUUUUACAAUUAUACUGAUAUGACAUAAUAAUUUAAAGCAUCAAAUGACAAAUCUACCAUCUUUGGGGGCAAGGCCACUACUUACCCACCUUGCCUUCACCCCGACUUCAAAUUUUGGUACAACCUAUAAUUAUAGUUGCUCAAACAUAUAUUUUUCAUGCUUGUAUUAUCUCUAAUAUAAUAAAACUUUUGAUUAAGUUGAUAUCAUUUGUUAAUCGGGUCCCAACUUAGUUGAGAAAUUACAAAAAAUUUAUACUUUUUACAAAAUAAAUUAUAUUAUUGCGAUUAAAUUUGUCUUUUUAUAUUUUUAUAAAUCAAUAAAAUAUUAGAAGCAAAGAGAUUUGAACCAAAAACAUUAUAAAUAUCAAAUCUUCAACUUUACCAUUUCAACUAAAGCACCAGUUAAAUUUUAUAUAAACAUUUAAUAAAUAUAAUUGUUACAUAAUUUUUUCACCCAUAUCACAAAUAUCUCAUAAUUAUAAUUUUUUUUAAAAAUAAAUUAAUAUUAGACUGAUCAAUGGAAUUAUUCAUAAAAAAAAUUAUUUGAUCCAAGGGCAUAAUUAGGGGGUCGGCAAAGGUCUCGGUCUUCCCUUAAAACGGAAAAUUUUUCAUUUAAGCUUUUUAAAAUUUAGAAAAAUUACACUUUGCCCCUCUAAAAAUAAUAAAAGUUUGAUUUAAUCUUUUAAAAAUUUUAAAGAUAUAAACUAUUAAAAUAGUAAAAUUAUAUUUUUACUAUCGCAAAAGUUAUUAUUUAAUUUUGACCCCUAAAAGAAUUUCUGACUUCAUCUCUGAUUCGAUCUAAAUAUUAUAUGGGAUUGAUCUUGUGAAUAAACCCAAACUUCUUUAUAAUUUGGAAAAAAAAAAUAGAAGAGUAUUCUUUAGGUGUGUAAAAUUGGUUCUAGAAAAAGAAGAAUUAAAAGAGAAAUAUUCUUAUUCAAUGAAUGGAAAAAAUGAAUUGAGUAAAUUAUUUUAUUAUUAUUUUUUAAAAAAAGUAUGUUAGACUUCAUAAAGGCAGCAUUAUAAUUUGUUAAUAAUUUUUUUUAUGGAAUAUUCAUAGGGAUUAAUGCUCACUUUAAUGUUCAAUCAGGAGAGAGCAUAAUUAACAGAUAAACGUGUCUUUAAUUAAAUAAUUAAUGUGUCAAAACUUGGAUUCUACUUUAUUAUACCAUUAUAAUAAAAUAUAUAAUAACUUAAUUCGAAGUUCAACUCGAAAUUUAAUUCAAUAAAUUCUUUAUAUAUAUUUUUAUAGAUCAUAUUUGAGGUUUUUUUCUCUUAUGCUCCUUGACUAAAAUACCCUCUCUCUCCACUUCUAUUAUUGUUGAUAUUGUGUAUUAACAGACUUCAUUUAAUAUUUUGUAAUUUUGAUAUUAAAUCAUAUUAUUUUUGAAGUAAAUAAUAAAUAUAUUAAAAUCUACUAGGUAAUAUUGUAAUAUUAUUUUUUGAUUUUUUUUCAUCCUGUGAUUAAAAUAAUAAGUCAACAAUAAUUAUAAUUAAUAAAAAGAAAAUGGCCAAAAAUAAUAAUAAUAGAAAGGGAAAAAAGGAGCUGAUGGCUGAAUACCAAAAGGCAAAAAGUGAUCAGAUUAUGAGCCAUUAAUUUUGGACCUAACUAGAUAGACAUUGACUUGGAGUAGUUGAAGAAAAAAAGCACCAAAUAUUUAUUUUUAUCAUAAUUUAUUAAUUAAUCCACUAAAUAAAUCAUUUUUAUUAGAAAUAUGCAUACUUUUGAGAAAGUAAAAUAUUCUGUAAAGGAAAAAGAGUAGUUAUGAGUACUUUUUCUUGGAAAAGAGUGGUGUUUUUUUUUUAAAUUAAAAAAAUAGUUUUUAUUAUGAAGGGUAAAUUAAUCAACAUUGUUUAGUUUAAAAAGUUACAAAAUGAUCAUUUAAUUAUUUAAAAAUUUUCAUUUAAGUCACUGAACUAUUAAAAUUGUUCUUAUAUGACAUUUUCUGUUUGCAUUGUUUACACCAAUCGAAACUCCUCUUCCCUUUCUCUUCUACGAUUCAACUUUUUUUUUUUAUAAAAUAACUUUGAAUGUCAUGAAUUUACAAACUAAAAUCCAAAUAGUUUUGUUCUCUAAUGUCUAACAUUGAUCACCAGAAUGAUUUAGAUCUAAAGUAUCUUCUUCUACUGGUUGAUGGGGAUCGUCAAAUUGUCACUUAGAGCUCGUUAACCGAUUUGAGAGUGACCAAAUAUAAAUUUACUAAUAAUUUAAUAUUUUUGGGUGUAGUUUAGCCUAUUAAGAUAUAAUCAUAACAAAAUUUAAGGGCUAGAAAUUUUUUAAAAAAUAUUAUAUAUAAUUGAAUUUAACUUUUUUAUAUUUUUCUAAUAAAGAAUGUGGUGAAACCUAAUUCAAAUGACGUGUGUUAUAAGGGGUGAGAUUUUAAGAGACAUGUAGGGCACACAAAUGAUUUGGUAUGAUGUGCAUUUGAUUCCGUGCUGAGUUUCAAACAUGAUAAACAAGGUUAAAUUCUGCAUAUCAUCCUUGUACUAUGAGAUAGUUGCAGAUUUAGUACUUAUACUUCAAAUUAGUCCUUAUAUUUGUUUAUUUUUAAGGUAAACUAUACCGAGUGUCACUUAACUAUUAGUAAGCUUACAUAUUGGUCACUCAACUUCAAAAAGUAACAAAACAAUCACUAAACUAUUAGAAAGUUUUUGUUUAAAACAUUAGAUUGUUAUUUUUUUUUGUUCAUUUGAAUUCCAGCUGGCAAGCUCCAAGUAUCGAUUUGACGAUCAAUAUGGUGGAACAAUAUCAAUCGAUUAGUAAAAGAAUAUAUCUUAGAUCUAAGUUGAUAUGAAGAUCAAUGUUGAAGAUCAGAGAAGAAAGUUGUUCAAAUCGAUGUUUAAAGUUGUUUCAUGAAAAAGAGUAAAGUAGAAGAAGAGGGGGAAGGUAAGCUUUCGAAUGUUGGUGUGGAUGGAGAAGGCCAUAUAGCAACGAUUUUAAUAGUUCUGUGACUUUAAUGAAAAAUUUCAAAUAAUUUAAUGACUAUUUUAUAACUUUUCAAAUAGUUCAGGCUUAAGUGUAGUUUAUCCUUAUUUUAAAAUCAACGUUUUGGAGUAAAAUGCAACUCUAAUAUGUAAAUUUUGAAGAAGUUUGAUGGUAACUGUGGUCUAUGGACUAAAGUGAAGAGGAAGAAGAAGAUUUUUUUUUUGAAUGUUUCAACUCACUUUCAUACGUGUCAUCUGAUGUGAGGAUGAUAUUUCCACAUAAUGUAAAUAAAAUGACACAUCAUUUAGUUUAACUGACAUAACAUUUUUCUUUAAUAUUAAGAUUGAUAUUUUAAAAAUAAAAAAUUACAAGGAUUGAGUUUGAUUAAAUUGAAGUAUAUGAACUAAAUACACAGUUAUCAUUUGGUACACGGAUGAUUUCUUGAAUUUGACAAAAAAAAUUGUUAGAAGAACUUAGCUUUUCGUUUAAAAAUUUGAAUCAACUCGACUUCGAAAACUGUAUGAAUAUAAAUUAUAUUGGCAAGGCUUCACUAGCAACAAUUCAAGAAUUUAAAUGCAAAGAAUUAGUAAAAACCAGUAAGCUAGCAAAAAAUGGCAGUUCAAUUUCACAUGUUAUCGUCAACUGAACUAACUUCUUAUUUUCAUAAAAUAUGAGGAUCAAAUUUUGAUAAAUUAAAACAAAUGAGAAACUUCUCAAUUUUAAGGAAGCAAAAGGCUGAAAUUCAUAAAAUAAACUGAUAAGACAUGUGAAAGUUUGCAUUUCCAUUAAAUAAACUAUCAUGUAAGGGAAAGUAAUUACUACGAAUGGCAAUGGAGUAGGGCAGGGGCAAAUGUUAUUAAAUCUACUACUAUUUUACAGUUGGUGUGCUUUGUUCCACCAUCCUCUUUGUUCCACUAUAGAUGUAUAAUAUUGAAAAUCACUACUACCUCCAUAUAUGUUUGAUGCAUCCAUCCUCACCUAACCCUACCUAGUCCAAUACCGUUCCGCUUCAAUUUAAUUUUUGUUACUUAUUUUUAAUGUUUUCAAUAUUUUUAAAAGCAAGUAAAUAUUUGAACAUACCUUUAAAAUAUAUAUAUUAAACAUAAAACAGAGAGAUUAUUCUAUAACACAUUAUUAUAUAUAGAAAAAUAAAAUUAUAAUUUCUUAGAGUAAAGCGGGGCAAAGCGGGACAAACAAUUAUCAUAACCAUUUUUCAUCCCCAUUAUCUAUAAAAAAAAGUCUACAUCACCUUACCCCACCGCAUCUACUUUCCAAAAGAACAAACCUAUUCUAUUAAAAACGGAUUAAUUUGAAAUCUAUCACGCAUUUCGAAUCCUGUAAUCUUAAUAUAUACCCUAUUUAUAUUAUAUUAUAUAAUAUUAAUAGUUUAACAUGUAUACAAUAAUAGGUGUGAGACAAAUAUUUUAUCACACACGUAAUAAGUGUAGUUGUAAUCAUGAUUAAUUUUGUUUUUUCAAUGUGAAAAUAAGGCAGCAAGAAUCAACAAAUCCACCGACUUCGAGUAAAGGAAAAUUGAACUCCCUUUUAUUGGAUAAGACAAGUUUGGGAUCAAAGCCUUUUCACAAAUAUAAAGAGUAUCAAAGCUACUCAUCUUCGUGAUUAUGCCAUUCAUCAUUCCAUUCAGAUUACGGAUGAGUUGAUUGAGUUUUAAUUCAAUUGAUAUAAAUAGUACUGUUAUUAAUAUAAAAAGAUGUAAAUUUGAGUAUAUUAAAAUGUAUUGUCCUCCUAUUUGUAUUUAUAGACUGAGGAGAGAUUAUGAAUAAUUCUAAAUAUUUUAUAUAAAAAAUAGAUAUAAUUAAAAUUUUCAAAAAAAAUAUUAUAAAUUAAUAAGAAAUUAAUUUUUUAUGUCUAGGGGUCUUAGUUUAAGUAUUUUUAUAUUUUUGGAAAAAUGCAAGAUUUCAAAAUAAUAUUUUCUUUUUAAAUUUCAAUAAUUAUAACUGUUUGUCAGAUGUCGAAAUAUAAAAUAAAAUAUUAAUACCAUUUUUUAAGCAGUUCUGUAUUCUUAUAGUAAUGUGAGAUUUUUAAUAAUUUUACCUUAUUUUUAAUGAUUUUAAUUUAAAUCAAAAUAAAACAAUAAUAAUGAAUUAAAUGCUCUUAUUUUUUUUAUUUUUCAAAUAACCUUUCAAUUAUGUUUAUUAAUAGGUUAAAAUAUGUCAUUAGUCCCUAUACUCAUUCUAAAUUUAAAAUUUCGUUAUUAUACUUUUAUUUUCAAGAAUUUAGUCUCUUUACUUUUUAGAUUUCAAAAUUUUGGUCUAAUCGAUAAUGUUGUUAAAUUUUUUUUUCGUUAAAAUUAUUGAUGUGAUAUUUAAAGAAAAAAACUCAUUUAGUAGUCAUAUAAUUAAAAAAAACAUGCAAUGUUGUAAUGAACUUAAAUUUAACAAAUUAAUUUUAACAGUGAUAACAAAUUAGACUUGAAUUUUGAAAUCUAAAUAGUAAAGAGACUGGAUCUCUAAAAAUAAAAGUACAGAGAAUAAAUUCCAAUUUUAAGAAGCGUAUAGAAAUUUAUGGUAUAUUUUCACCUUAUAAUAUCGUAUCUGUUCUCUAUUUCAUUAUAAUAGUUUUACCAUUCUUUUAUAAUUUUGAUUAAAAUUGUCCUCAAAACCAUAAAAAUAACGCAUUUUAAUAAAAAAAGUAUAUAGUUUAUUUAUUUGAAAACAAUAAAUGAAAUUAAUUUACUACUAAAAUGCAUUAAUUUAUCGAGUCUUAGUUUUAUUGGCAUAGAUAUUGUUAUCAAUGUAUGAGGAUAUGUGUUUAAGUGCGCUGAAAUGCAUCAUCUUCUUAUUUAUGGGCUGGAGAGGAGUUCUGGAUAGUUCUAGACAUUGUGUCAAAAAAAGAAUAGAUAUGAUCAUAACUUAUAAUGAGAUCAUUCAAAAAAAUAAAAUUUAUUGUGUAAUAAAUGAAUCAAACGUCCCAUAAAAAAAUAUAGUGCAAUGGAAGAAAGUAAGUGUUUAUAAAAAAAAAAAAUUGUUGUGUAGUAGAUUCGAUGUAGUUUAUUUACUAUUAAAUAGAUCAAUUAAUCACCAUAUUAGUAAAUAAAAUAACGAGGCUCUCAUGUGAUAUUUUUUUACUAUAAAAUUCCACGUUAUUUUAAAUAAUAAAAUUUAAAACAUUUAAAUUUGAAUUUAUUUAAAUAUUUUCAUUAUUAAUACAUUAAUUAAAUUAUAUCAUUUGAUAAUAAGUAGAAGUAUUCAUGGGCCGGAUUAUAGAUGUCAAGCUCGAGCUCAACCAGACCAUAUUAAUUCUUUUAAAAAUAUAUUUUUUAUAUAAAAUAAAACUUAAAAAUAUAAUAUAUAAAAUACACUAAAAACAUUAAAACAAAUGUUACCUAACAAAUUGAAAAUAAAUUAAAAAGUCUUUAUAUGAAGAUAGUUGCAACUAAAAUAGUAAUAAAAUUAACAAUAAAACAAAUAUUCUACAAUAGCAAAAUACUAGGGAACUAGUUAUGCAAUUCAGGUUGGCCUAGGUUGGGCUCGGACAAAAAAACCUUACUCGAAACUUGGCCUGUUUAGAAGAUGGGUCUUAUUUUUUAUUUAAAUUGAUUUUUCGAGCUUAUAUUUUUAUCCGAAUCCAAUAACCUUCUAAACGGGAUUGGACAAGGGACCAAUGAGAAAUGCGAAGGCCCAUGCGGGAAAAUGCGGGCUGCAUUGUGGCACAAAAUUAAGGCAAUAAGACUUUGAUGGUCCAAUCCACAAAAGCAAUGGUUCUAAUAUUAGAUUUAUUAUCAUAAAUCAUCAUAUGAAUCCACUUUAAUUAUGCAUUUUAUUGGAUACUCAAAUAUCUAAUUUUUUUAAUAAUAUUAAUUUUUAGAUUUUGAAUUUUUAAACUUGAUUAGAAAGCAUAAUCCAAAACAGGACCCGAAUUGAAUCAGAUAACCCGACUCCGGUAUUGCGUUUACCCUCCGAGUCCGAGCUUCUCAACUACCAUACUAAACAGUUGACUGGUAGAGACGAUCCCCCAAAAAUGGCAAGUUCCAGUGUCUCCUUCAUCAUCAUCAUCAUCACCACCGUCCUUUUGCCAUCCCUCUCUUCACAGCUGUCCGAUCUCUUCCCUUCCAACAACCCGCCGCCCUUCCUCGGCAAACAUUCGCACCCAAUCAAACAACCCAACCACCACCAACAAUACCAUUAUGAAACCCGGUAUUUUUCCCAACCGUUGGACCACUUCAGCUUCUUGGACCUCCCCAGGUUCCGACAACGUUACCUUAUCAACACUGAACACUGGGUCGGCCCUUCCCGUUCCGGCCCAAUCUUCCUUUACUGCGGCAACGAAGGUGACAUCGAAUGGUUCGCCGUUAACACCGGUUUUGUAUGGGACAUCGCUCCCCGCUUCGGUGCCAUGAUUCUAUUCCCAGAGGUAAAUUUAAGGUUAAAUUUUGCUAUUAGUCCCUGUACCUUACCAUAAUUGUGGAUUUAGUCCUUAUUUUGAUAACUUUACAGUAACUGAUAAAUUCCUUUAUUUAAAUUUAAUUAUUAGCAACAAAGGUAAAUUUAGUCCAUUUUCUUCAAUAGGAUGAUUUUAGGUUCCUUUUUCAAUUUUGGUAAGUUGACAUUGCAUUAAUAUGUUUAUCGCAUCUGAUUUUGUAAAUAACAGAUCUUAAUUCAUUUAAUUGUUAUUGAUUGGCAAGGACUGAAAUGUUAAAAGUUGAAAAGAAUAAGACUAAAAAUACCAAAUUAAAGUACAGCAAUUUUGCAAAGAGUAAUAGCAGAAUUUAACCUAAGUUUAACAAUCUAUAAUUUUUUUAAGGCAUUGUUUGGUUGAAACUAAUUGAAUUUUAAUGUUAAUGAGAAAUAAUUUAACAGCAUAGGUACUAUGGGGACUCAAUGCCGUUUGGAAGUAAAGAAGAAGCUUAUAGAAAUGCCACUACCCUUUCUUAUCUAACAGCAGAGCAAGCCCUUGCUGAUUUCGCCGUUCUCAUUACUAAUUUGAAGAAGAAUUUGUCUGCUGAAGGGUGUCCCGUUGUUUUAUUCGGCGGCUCCUAUGGGGGAAGUAAGCCUUUUUUCUUUUCUGUUUUUCAUAUUAAAUUGGUUUUUGAGGCGUUUAUGAAAUGGUAUAAUUUGAUUAGUGGAAUGGUAAAAUACAUUGCACAACAGGGUCGAACUUUGCUACGAAUCUUGAACAUGGACAAUAAAACGAGCAUAGAAUAUACCAAAAAAGAAUUGAUUAGUGGAAAGGGUUUUGAUUUAUGCCAUUAAUGAUGCAGUGUUAGCAGCAUGGAUGAGGCUCAAGUACCCUCAUAUUGCUAUUGGGGCACUUGCUUCAUCAGCUCCGAUUCUUCAGUUUGAAGAUAUUGUGCCACCUGAAACGUUUUAUAACAUUGUCUCCAAUUCAUUCAAGGUUCUACAUAGAUGUUUUAAGUUAAUUUGGUCUUUAUAUGUCAUCAGUCACCUUCUUUUUUCCCCUUAUUUUGUUUUUAUUUCUAUAUAUGUAGCGGGAAAGUAGUAGCUGCUUUGACACCAUUAAAAACUCAUGGAAUGCAUUGACGUCCGAGGGUCAGAAGGAGGAUGGCCUUAAGCAACUGUCUAAAACUUUUCACUUGUGCCAGUGAGAACAAUGGAGGAAAAUUUGCAUACGUGCAUGUUGCUGUAGCAUACUAUAUUAUGAUUCGACGGAGGGAUAUAUAAAUUUUUUAGUGAUGUAGUUUUUGAAACUCUUGGCAGGGAACUUACAAGUGUUCAAGGUCUAUCAGACUGGUUGGAUUCUGCAUAUAGUUAUUUGGCAAUGGUUAAUUACCCGUAUCCUUCAAACUUUUUAAUGCCUUUGCCGGGACAUCCCAUAAGAGAGGUUAGUUGGAAUAUGUAUGACUUGAAACUUAUAUUAUGGAUUGCGCAGACCAUUUAUGGUUUUCUGCAUAUACAGUCACAAAGCUACUUCUCAAACUGCUCUUCCAUGGAUGUUCUAUUUUCAUUUGUUCUAUGAUGUUGUUUCUUUAUCAAUCAGUGCGCUAUUUCGGGGUGACAUUUUGUUAAAUAAAAAGUAGGAAAAAUAUCAGUUUAGGGUGACUUAUAAAUUAUAAUUGUUAAGUUGAUUAUGUACUAUUAUUUUGCUGUUUGUUGAUUUGCAUCUUUGCUAUCUGGAAUAAGCUUUGAUAAAGGGCGCAUUAGUGUUACGGCAGUUCACGUCACUUGCAGCUCUAUUUACUACAAUUUUAUGAUUCUUGAAUAUCUGCUAUUGGUAAUGCAAGCUUCAUAUGUAGCUAACUCAGAACUUACUGUUGUGAAUGACUUUGAUGCACCAUGAAUAAAGGUUAUGAUUUGCUUCAGCUACUUUAUUUAAGAUAAUAUUUCUGCUUUUACUGUGGUCCAUUUUCUUCAAUGCCAGUCCUGAAAAAAUUCUUGGUUCGUGGUUAAUAUUCAAUGAUUUUGAUAUGGAUUUGUUAAUCUUAGAAAUGUUGGUGUUCUUAAUGUGAGGAUGCCUAGUGUAACUCUUAGAUGUUGCUAGUAUUUUCUUUCAUUGUGUUAUUGCACUCUUUGCAUAUAAUGUUGCUGUUAUUUUGGAACUCGGUUUUCUUGUGGGGUCUUGGCCGGUAUCCAACUUCGUGUUUCAAAUAUGUAUAAUCACAUUGUAGGUCUGCAAAAAGAUUGAUGGGUCUCCUGCCGGGUCUAGCAUUCUGGAGCAUAUAUUCAAUGGAGUAAGCGUAUAUUACAAUUAUACUGGAGAGGUUGACUGUUUUCAACUUGAUGACGAUCCUCAUGGCAUGGAUGGGUGGAACUGGCAGGUCUUGUGAUCUAUUUACUUUUUAUUCUAUAUCAGUUUAAUAAAUCUCCAAAACAUUAUAUACUUAUGCAUUUUUACUGAUUGUUUAUGUCAUUUCUGGUUCUCGAUUUAGGCAUGCACUGAGAUGGUUAUGCCGAUGUCUAGUGAUCGAAACACUAGCAUGUUUCCAGCAUAUGAUUGGGAUUACUCUGCUUUCCGAGAAGGGUGCCAGGAGGAUUUCCAGGUGACACCAAGGCCUAGAUGGAUAACAACCGAAUUUGGUGGACAUGUAAGAUAAUAUAAUAUGUUACCAUAUGUUGGCUAGUUCCUUCAGUUUUGCAUCGCUUUUUUAGUCUUCACUACGUUGAAUGAACAAUAAUGUUUGUAUGAAGGAUAUCGAGCAUGUAUUGAAAUCCUUUGGAAGCAACAUCAUAUUCUCAAAUGGUUUAUUAGAUCCUUGGAGUGGUGGCAGGUUAGCUCCUUAUAUUGAUUUUUAUCAAAGUUUUAAUCAUCUAGUUUCCAAUGAAUGUUCAUGUUAUUCUUUGCAGUGUUCUGAAGAAUAUAUCUGAAACGAUUAUUGCUCUCAUCACGAAAGAAGGUAACACAUUCCGAAGUCUUUUACUUCUUAAUGAGUGUGAUAAAUCAAGAGUUAGUGACGAAUAUGGAUAUGCUGUAGCUUGUAUGUAGAAUACAGCUAAACAUCGUAAACUGAUGAAUCUUUCAGGCGCCCAUCACAUCGACUUGCGUGCCUCUUCGACAGAGGACCCUGACUGGUUAGUGGAACAGAGGGCAACCGAGAUCAAGCUGAUCCAAGGUUGGAUUGAUAACUAUCGUAAGAAAAUGAAAGCAACCUUUGAGAUAUAGAUAUAAUUUGUGUAAAUAUAGGUUCUAAGGUAUGCUUCUGGCCAUGUUUCUAUGAUUUAACCUGCAAUGGAUGCACUCAUUUUAGAGGAAAAUUGAUACUUUGUGAGAGCUAUGAAAUGUAUGUCUCUCUCUCUAUAUAUGAUCACUAUGUCAUUGCAAUAUGAGUUGACCAAUCAGUUUUUCUGGUCAAUGUAUUUUAUUUUUUCUAUAUACUGCCUAGAACUGCCUAUAGCCCCUCCCUAACCUUUCAUUAGGGGAAUAAUGCGCUUCAACGCUCUUGAGCCCAUGUCCUCCCGACUUAAUCGGCUAUAGUAUGAAUAUAUUUAAAAUAAAUUAAAAUGACAUGUUUUAUUUCAAUUAUGUCAGUGGAUUCAGUUAUGAAUUUCAAUAAAUGCUAAUGGAUCAAUUUAAUAAUUUUAACCAAAUCCUUCAUCGAUUUAAUUAAUAUAACUGAUUAAUUUAGAUAUGAAUUCUAAAUUCCAGAUUAAUCAAAAGUAAGUAAAGAUAAACAUAAAAUUAAGGUUAAAGCAUAGUUAUUGUGCUCUUUGUAAAUUUAAAAUUUAGUCUUUUUAUUUUCAAGAAUUUAAUCCCUAUACUUUUAAAUUUCAAAAUUUAGGUCAAAUUGUUAAUUGCACCUUAAAAUUAUUUUGUCAACUUUGUUGGUGUGAAUGAAAAAAAAUAUGUUAGCUUGAAAGGAUCAACUUGAACUCAUCGAUAGGGAGGUUGAAUUGACAUUUUAGAAAUUGUCCUUGAACUCAUCGAUAGGGAGGUUGAAUUGACAUUUUAGAAAUUGUGGUGGAAGCAAUGAAAAAUAUGCAAUAAAGAAUAGAAUGAUUUAUAAUGGUUCGACUCCAAUUGCCUAUUCUAUUACCUUAGCUUACCAAAGUAUUUUCUCAAAUUCACUAAUUUGACAACCUUUGCCCAAACCUUAAGUUACAAACCUUCUUUCAAAGAGAAAUAAGUAAACAAAGAAACAAUCUUUACAAGAUUAGGAUGUUUGCCAAUUAAGUACAAAUACAAAAAAGAACAUUUGAGCUAAAUGAAUAUAAUGAAAGCUCACAAGUAUUUUCAAGAAAAAGAUAUGAAACAAUUAAGUUCUAAGUUGUUUUGAUUGAACUUUUAAGCUUUGCACAUGUCUCUUGUUGUUGCUAAACUAUUUAUAUCAUCUAAUUGAUUUUCAACUGUUGUAGUUGUUGUAGAAAUAAAUAUAGUCAUUGGAGAUGAAAUACCGGGUCAUUAACUUCACUUGUAGCAACGAGUAUCGAUACCUACUAAAAGAGUAUCGAUAUUUUUUGUAAUUAACGUUGAUUUCAGUGACCGUUGGAGCAGGAAUAUCGAUAUCUUACCAGAUCGAUAUCUACCAGGAGUUGAAAAUGGUAUAAUGUCAAUUUAGUAUCGAUAUCUUGUAAAAUAUCGAUACUUAGACAAAAAGUUUUGAUACUUUUUGUCCUGGAGCAAUUCUAACUUGUUUGAAAAUGAUUAAAACAUAUUUGAAAAUGUUUGACUCAAUUGAAACCAUUUCAACUUAAUUUUAUGAAAUUGCUCAACUUUACUUUUAUUAAAUAACACUUUAAUUUGUUAUAUCAAAACAUAUUAUCCAAUAAGACUUUGUUUAACAAAAUACUUAUUUAGUAGUCAUAUAAUAAAAAAAUGAUGUUGUAAUGACUUGAAUUUAAUAGAAAUUUUUUUAAUAAUGUUAACAAUUACACUUAUAUUUUUACAUUUAAAAAGUGGAGGGAUUAAAUUUUUUGAAAUAAAAAUAGAGGAACUAAAUUCUAAACCUAAAAAAAUAUAGGGACUUAGAGGACAUUUUAACUUAAAAUUAAAAAUUAAUUUUGGGCAAAUCAUGAUAAAAUAUUUGAUUGUAAACUACAAGUUGCCCCACAAAGAGGAUCUUUACAACGAAUUCUAGCCGUGGAUUAAUAUUUAAAAAAAAAAGCAAAAAAAAAAAAUUGAUGACGUGGAACGUUGACUGUCACUCUUUGGAUCUUUACUCUCAUCUUUUCCCUCCAUGGCGGCCCAAAUUUCCUAAUACGACACCGUCUUUCAUUUCACCCACAGUAGAAACUUCUUUUUUGUCUUAGCGAUUUCCUCUCUAAAGAACAAAAACCCGACUCAGUGGUGACCCGGUGACUCACUACUUUUGAUUCUUUUAUCUCUUUUCAGCGGAGAAUACAAAAAAAGGGUGAAGAAUCCGACCAAAUCCAGCUAAAUCGUACGGGAAUUAGGGUUUUAGGGUGAGUUGAUCGGGCUUGGAAGAUGGCGAGCCCGUUCACGCCGGGUACUGGUAGGGCUUUGUCGAUAACUCCGGGGUCUAGGGUUUCGAAGAGUUCUCUUGGUGAUGAGACGAUCUGGAAGCGACUCAAGGAAGCUGGAUUCGAUAAGGAAUCUAUCAAGAAGAGAGAUAAAGCUGCCCUUAUUGCUUAUAUUGCGAAGCUUGAAGCAGAGGUCUGCUUUAAAUCUUUAUACUGCUUAUCUGAAUUAAUUUUCGUGGUUUUUGGUUUGCUGUUUAUUUCCCUUUUUUAAGGUUUUAUUUUGUUUUUGGUGCAAUAGGUUAAAGAAAAGAGUAUUAGUAUAUUUUGAACAUUUAAAUUGUGAAUUGUGAAUAUGGAUACAAAAGACGAUAUAUAUAUAAGGCAUUUCAGUUUUAGAUUUUUUACUGGGAUUUAUGGGGUCAAUUUUCAAUGUUGAGCAACCAAAUAAAGUCUUGAACAUUGCUCGUGGUUAGAAAUUUUGUAUUUCACUUGAACGCUAAAUGCCAAUUUAGUUGCAUAACAUGUGUUUACAUUGUAUGAGCUUUGAUUGAACAAACUUGAUUUUCAUUUACCUGUCUGUUUGCACUUUUUGGUCGAGGUGUUGUUUCUGCUUGUGGUACCAUGGAAUUGAGUUGUUAAUUUUGUAGGUUUAUAAGAGCUUUUAGGAACAUUCAUGGUUUGUUUGUUUCUAGCUUCUUUUAUUUGUUUCAUCCUCGUUUUGGUCAGUUUUUCUCGCCUUUGUGUCAUUAUUUUGGGGUUGAGUGCUUUUUAUGUGGAUAUUUUUCCUUAUGAGUUUUUGCUCUUGAUAGUUCCAAUGGAUGUGUAUUAUUAAGCUGUGAUAUUUACCUAUCUUAAUUUGAAAAUGACUGCUUUGUACAAAGGAUAAGAGUGUGGAGUGAAGGCAGUCUUGUUUUAGCAUAUGAUGAUCCUUGCAUCAUUCACAUGUUGCUCUUAAGUUCAUGCUGUAAAUCUUCAUUCAUUCUCUGCUUCUUGUCUCACAGCUUACUAACAUAUUUUUAAUAUUUAUUUAUUCUUGUAUGUAGCUCUCUGACCACCAACACCACAUGGGCCUUCUUACAUUGGAAAGAGAGGAAUUGGCUUCCAAGUAUGAAGAAAUUAAAGCCUCUGCUGAAGCAACCGAGCUAAUGCAUAAACGAGAUCAAGCUGCACAUAUAUCUGCUCUGGCAGAAGCAAAAAAGCGUGAGGAUGGUUUGAAGAAAGCUUUAGGAGUUGAGAAAGAAUGCCUAGCAAGCGUAUGGUUAAUAUUUGAAGUCUCUCUUUCUUGUAGUUUUUUUUUUUACAUCUCUUUGAGGACCAUAAAUUUCUUUGGGCUUUGUUGUUGGAUUUUAUAGAUCGAGAAGGCUUUGCAUGAGAUGCGUACAGAAUCUGCUGAAACUAAGGUUGCAGCUGAAAGUAGAUUAGCUGAAGCACGUAUUAUGAUAGAGGAUGCUGAGAAAAAGUUUUCAGAGGCUGAGGCAAAGUUUCGUGCAGCAGAGUCUUUACAGACAGAAGCUACCUUCAUCCAACGUGAUGCUAAGAGAAAACUCCAAGAAGUUGAAGCACGUGAAGAUGACCUUAGUAGACGAAUUUUAUUGUUCAAAAAAGAGUAUGUCAUAUGCAUUGCGUUUUCCUUUAUGUUGUUUGUUCCAUCAUUUGCUUUUUUGAUUGUUUCUCUGUUUUAUUUCCCCAUCAGUUUGCAGUUGAGAUUCUCUUAUUUCCCAGGAAGACAUAAUUGUGCUUUGUAUAUCUCUCUUAAUUAGUAUAAUGUAGUCUUUUCUUUGCUGAAUUUCAAUAUGGAUUAGGUCUUGUAAUGAAAAGUUCCUAUGAAUAAGAAUCUGCGACAUGAUUGCUUGGUAAUCUAUUUAAGCUGUUUAUAUGAGACAGACAUGAUUGAUUGCAUGUUGUGAAAGUGAACAGGUGAAAACUAAUUGGCUGUGGCAGGGUGGUUUUCUGCUGAUACAUGCCUACUUUGUUGCAUUUUACGGUUUGCUGAUGACAUUAUAAUUCAUAUGAUAGCUUUUUCCAUGAUUUCGUAUUAUGCAACGAGCCUAUAAAUUCAAAUAAAAUUUUGUCUCAAUGAGUCGUUAAUUUUUUGGUUCUAUGUUUUAGUUCUGAUGCAAAAGAGAAAGAGAUCAACCUUGAACGGCAAUCGCUGAGUGAGAGGAAGAAGAUUGUACAGCAAGAACAUGAAAGACUACUUGAUGGACAAGCUUCCCUGAAUCAAAGAGAGGAGCAUAUUUUCAAUAGAAUGGAAGAACUAAAUCGUCUUGAAAUGGAGUUGGAGGCUUCAAAAGCAGAACUUGAAAAGGAACGUAGAGCUUUGAAGGAUGACAAAUCCAACCUUGAGUUGACUUUAGUUUCUCUAUCAAAAAGAGAGGAGGUUGUGUAUUUCCUUUGCCCAUAGCAGUUAUGAUUUGGAGUGCACUUUCAUGUGAAUUUGUUUAUUUUACCUCAUUGAAAGUCAUAAUAAUUCAGUUCCUCCCAUGCAGGCCGUUAUUGAGCGAGAAGCUUUGCUUAGCAAGAAAGAACAAGAGCUGCUUGUUUCUCAAGAGAAACUCGCAAACAAGGAAUCUGUGAGUUACUUUGUUGAGCACUCUUUAGGAUUUUCAACUUUGUUUCUGUUUCUUUUAUGAGAAAUUUAUGCUUUUGAGUGAAUUUCAGAAGGUCAUUGCUAGUCAUGAAAAUGAAUUGAGAACCAGAAACUCUGAGUUUGAGGCUGAGCUUGAGCUCAAGCGCAGAAUGGUGGAAGAUGAGAUUGAAAUGAAGAGACGGGCCUGGGAGUUAAAGGAGAUGGAUAUAAAUAACAAGGAGGACCAAAUUUGUGAAAGAGAACAUGGUCUUGAUGCUCGAUUGAGGAUAUUAGCAGAGAAAGAGAAGGAUGUAGCUGAGAAGUCAAAUCUCAUAGAUGUCAAAGAAAAAAAUAUGAGUGCUUUUGAAAAGGAACUUGAGUUGAAGAAAGCUGCUUUAGAAAAAGAAAAGGAAGAGAUGAGUAAAAUGAAACUAGAGCUUCAGAAGUCAUUGUUGUCAUUGGAAGAUAAAAGAAAUCAAGUUGAUCAUGAAAAGGAGAAACUAGAAGCCCUGAGAAGUGAGACACAUGAAUUAUCAACUUUAGAAUUAAAACUGAAGGAAGAACUUGAUUUGGUUAGGGCUCAAAAAUUGGAGCUUAUGGCUGAUGUUGAUAGGUUGGAAGUAGAGAGGGCAAAAUUUGAAACUGAGUGGGAGUUGAUUGAUGAAAAAAGAGAAGAGUUGCGGAAGGAAGCAGCGCGUGUUUGCAAGGAUAGAGAAGAAAUUUCGAAGUAUCUCAAGGAUGAGCGUGAUAGAUUGAGAAGUGAGCGUGAUGUGAUGCGAGAGCAGCAUAACAAGGAUGUUGAAUCAUUGAAUCGUGAGAGAGAGGACUUCAUGAAAAAGAUGGUGACUGAGCAUUCUGAUUGGUUCAACAAGAUUCAACAAGAGCGUGCUGAUUUCUUGUUAGGAAUUGAAACCCAAAAGAGGGAGCUGGAGAAUUGUAUUGAGAAAAGGCGUGAAGAAUUGGAAAGUUCUUUGAAGGAAAGAGAGGAAGCUUUUGAGCGAGAAAAGAAAAAUCAACUUGAUCAUAUUAAUGCUCUAAAGGAAAUAGCGGAGAGAGAGUUGGAACAAGCUACUCUAGAAAUGAAAAGGCUCGAUGCUGAGAGGACAGAAAUCAAGUUGGAUCGUGAGCGAAGGGAACACGAAUGGGCUGAGUUGAACAAGUCUAUUGAGGAGCUUAAGGUGCAAAGACACAAAUUGAAGCAACAGAGGGAAUUAUUGCAUGCUGAUAGAAAAGAGAUACAUUUUGAGAUUGAAGAGCUAAAAAAGUUGGGGGACUUGAAAGCUGCUUUGGAUAAUAUGACGGUGGCUCAAAUGCAGCGCUCUAUUGUAGAACGUAGCCACCUGAAAGCAUCCGAAAGAAAUAAUCUGAAACAGCAAGCUGUCCUGCAAAAUGUGGAAUCUGGUUCAGAUAAAAAUAAGAUUUUUGCUGUGAAUGGCAAUGGAUUCAACUCUCCGAUGGCAAAACCAGAUAGCAGUCCCUCUGGCUCUGCCCGUUUCUCUUGGAUCAAGCGCUGCAGUGAAUUGAUAUUCAAACAUACCCCCGACAAGGCUCAAAUGAAGCCUGAAGAAAGAUCGUUGGAAUUGGAUGGAGAACCAAAGAUACUGGAAGUGCCCUCUGAAGGUGAGGUUUUUGAAAGAACUCAAGCUGGAAGGAAAAGGAGACUUGACAACAUACCUUCAAAUGGCACCAAGAAGAGUAGGCAAAAGGAUGCUUCUGUACUUGAAGUAGAGGAUAACACUCACCGGUAUCCACUUCUGUACUUGCAUUAUUUUUUAUUUUUUCAACAUGUUCUUUCUUGAUGCGCAUAGCUCACUUUUCUUUACAAUAAAAUUUGUUCCUUUUUCAGUGUACAUUCAACUGAACCAAAUGUAGUGCUGGAUCAGCCUGAAUUAAUGUCAUACGAUCAAAGUGAAGGAGGGGCUGAUGAGACCAAUGAGUUGAUUGUUGAUAGAGUAAUUAAUAUUUCUGAAGCAAUCCAUGUAAAAGAGACUGUAGAUGAUUUUUCCAAUGUAGAAAAUAUAGACCAGUUGCAGGAUACGGGAGCGAAGGAUAAAUCUGGGGAACUAUUAGCGGUACCUAUGGGGAAUGUUUCUCAACUUACUAUCCCUUGUCAGGUAAUUUCUGGUCGUACCUAUUGGCAAGUUUCUUGCAUGCUGAUGACAUUAUGAACAUUUUACUAGACUCUUAUUUACAAUUGAAUUCUUUGCUCUUCUCCCCUUACCGAUAUAUCAACAUUUUUUAACAGUAGCACUUGUAAUAUGCAUACAAGUUGAUCAGGUAUUGAUACAAUUUCCAUCUUGUAGGAAAUGUUCCUUGGCAUAUUUAGUCAGAGCAAAAUCACCUUCUUAUUGCUGUCUAUGUUUUCUUAGUUUGAUAUAUUCUUCUUUAGUUACGUUCCCUUGUCCGUCCUUAUUCUGUAUCCCUAAGGUUCAUGCAAUUAUUUUUAUUCUGCAGCCAACGGAAGACAUGUUGGGAAAAGGCAAACAAAAGCUUGAAGACAAUGUUACUGUCCGACCAGAUGACAAAGUGAGAACCAGAUCGAGGGCAGGGCUGAAGCAAUUGUUGUAGAAAUAUAGUUUCUUUCUAGGUGCUAAAGUUGAUUGAUGUUUCAACUAUUUUUCACAAAGGUACUCUUUUCUUUCCCGCCUUCCAUCUUAGCCUACUGUGAAAGCAUGAAUUAUGAGAGAUCAAUCAUUGAACUUAAAGCAGCCUUUUCUAAUCACUCCUUUUGGUGUAUUGCAGAAUAGCUGAAAACACUAAUAUAUACUUGAGAAGGGAUAAGUUUGCGUUGCAGUAACUAAAAUAAGCAAACCGUUUUAACUAACUCAGAUCUUGUUUAAAAGAGUGAACUUGUCAAUGAUUGUGCAUCCUCUUCUUUCUUCAGGUAUGGCUUUUUAGUAUAUGGUUUUCUGAUAUUUUCUUGGUUCAUUGGGCGAUGGUGUGAUGGGUUUUGGUUGAGAGAGUCUUGUGUUGGUUUGGUGGCCGAAGUGAUGGCAAAAUAUUAGUGGUUUAUCGGCGUAGUUUGGUAUGUGGUGUUGGAAAUCGUUGGGGACGGAUUGAUGCUUUAGUCCCUAAGAUCUCUAAAUGUGUUUAUAUAUGAAUAGAAAAUGAGGGAAUGCGGUUUUAUUCAUAUCCCGGAACUUUGAUAUGUUAUUUUUAUAUAUUAUAGAGUUGAUCAUGGUUUCUUGUUUCUCUGUUUCUAUUUUUUGCUGAAUAUGAAUACGUGUAUGUAUUAAAAAUAUAAAGCUGAUUAGCUGAUUGCUCGCUUAAAGUUAAAGGCAGCGCUUUCUUUUGUUUAUACUUAUUCAGGUAAAAACUUCAGUAUCCUUGUAACAGUUAAAACAACAUAAUUGUUAAUGGAGAUUACCAUUUUUGGGUUAAAAAACUAAAUAUUUAUUAUGCCUGUCAACAUUCAUUUUCCAUAGAUUCCCUUUAUGUCUAUUUAUAUAUAUAUAUUUAGAAAUGUUAAAAUUUACAAUUCCAAGAGCAAAAGUAUGAGUUAUAGUUAGGGGUAAGUAAAAUUAGUGAAGUUUGUGUUGUUCAAGUCGGUUUUAUUGGUUUGGUUAUGGUCUCGAUUAAGUUAGUCAUUAAACCAAUUUAGUAUAUAUUAUUUAUUUUACCUUCAAAAAAUAUGUUUAUUUUAAAAACACAAUAAUAUAUAUAUUUUUAUGUCAGUUCUGUAGCUUUCCUAGAAGAUACUUAACAGCGGGUGGUUUCAUAACACUUUUUCAAUCAAGCAAAGCUUGGUUGGAUUUAUCAGGAAGCUGGAGGAUUAGAACCAAAUUUUUGAAAAUGAGUAUUGGCUGUUCAUUUACGACCCAACAUGAAAACAUGCUUUUCACAGACAACCAGCUUUUCUCCAUCACCUACAAUGGGUUCAACCAAAAAUCUUAUUUUGUUUUGACUUUUAAAAUGAAAUUGUUAAUGACAUACACUAAUCCAAGGCCAAGGUUUCAAUUUUCAUUCAAAUAAUUCUAUUGAUGUAAUAUGCUUUAGAGUUCAAUUUGUUUUAGUAGUAGCGAUUAACCCCUCAACUUAGGUGCUUUAUUUUAAACUUCAAUGCAAAUCCUUCACUAAAAUAAUCAGGUAAUCCUGAUAUCCCUUUGAAGGGCUUUUAUUUAUUUAUUUACAGAAACUAAAUUUCCUUCCUCUACUACAAUUGCAAUAUAUAUACAUGAAACAGAAACUAACGACAUGAACAAUAACAUAAUUUUAUAAUAAUAAUAACUCCAUGGAAAAAAAAAAGCAUUAGUUUUGAUGAUAUUUAUUGUAGUUAUGGUCAUUGGUUAUGUUUUCUAAUAUUUUAUUUUGGUUACAGUUAUUCUAACAUGUAUUUGUAGUUGUGGCUGUACUCAUGUUUGUAAUUAGGAGUGGCAAUGGAGCAAAGCAAGGACGAAUAUUGCUAAAUCCAUUGUGGCUUCAUAGUUGGCACACUCUAUCUUACCAUUUGACUGCUUUGUUUUGAAUGUGUAAUCUAAAAAAUCAGAAUCACUUCUAUAAAUGUUAGAUGCACCCAUUCCUAUUCUAUAAAUGUUAGUUAUUUUUAAUAUUUUUGGCCCUUUUGAAGGGAAGUAAGUUCUUCAAAAGAAAAAGUAAACAUAAAGCAUGAGUUUUUUUUUAUUAUGUUAUAAUACAUUUUUACUCUUUUAAUAAUUAUAUAUACAAGAGUAAAAUAAUAAUUUUAUAUAGUAGAGUAAGUUGAGAUAAAGUAAGCAAUUGCCAUAGUUCCAUAUCCAUUGUAAAAAAAAUAUCGGCUUGCUUCAUCCAACAUUCACUUUUAAAAAAAAAAAAAAAGUUUACUCCAUUCAAUCGUAAAAGAUUCUUUACUAUUGUAACCUAAAUAAAAUAUCCGCUCAAUUUGGAUUUUGCUAUUCCUAUUAUAACUAAAAGAAUUGCCCAAGCUUUUGUGAGUUAUUAUGCACAAAACUUUUUUGUUAAUUGAAAACACAAUAUGAUUAUUACCUGCGUUUAUUAGAUAGGUUGGGUUAUGUUUAGAUUAAGUCUAUUUAUAGUAUUUAUAUCAUACAUAGGGAUAUUAUUGCCUAAGCUUGGCUUAUAUUACAAAUGAGUAUACUUUUUUAUCCAACCCUUUUUUUUAGUCUAAUAUUUUUGCCUAAACUCUCUAAAAUAUUGGAUGUGAGUUUAAGCUUAAACGAGCACUUGAACCUUUAAACAAGUCUAAUAACAAUGGCCUAUCAAGAAGUCAAGCAUGCAAGAUUAACCGACUUAAUUGACAUAUAUAAUACAUUUUAAUUAUUUUAAAUAUAUUUAUAUAAUAAAUUCCAAUUAAGUGAUUUAACCUAUUGAACUGAUGUUAAGUCAACUACACCCAUAAAAUUCAGUUAAUUUAAUUAUAGUAGGAGGAUUAAUGCUCUUUAUAUUACUCAACCCAGUUUUUGACAAAAGAAACCAAAGCCAUGAAAAUUGAUUGUAACUUCGUUCAUGAAAAUUUUCUGAGCAAUUUAAUUUCUACUAGCUAUAUGAAGAUAAGAGAACAAAUUGUUGAUUUGUUUAAAAAACACCACAUGAAAAUCGAGUUGAUUAUGUAUGUGACAUGUGAAUGAAAAUAAUUUUCACUUAUCUUUACAAGGAAAAAGAAUCUUUCUAGUAUUUUCUCCAUACUUUUUUGGUAAUUAUAAUUUUGUCCUUAUUUUCCUCUAAGUCGUCGACAACGAAAUCUCCAAACUAUACAAUAUCGACAUGCUUUUGCUUUCUUAAUUCCAGAGCCUGAUGACUAAAACCUAUGAUAGCUAUAUAAUAAUAAAUUGAGUGCUUAAUUUUUUUUAUCAAUUUGCUUUUUUUAAUUAAAUUUGAUUAUUAAUUUUUAGAAAUAGUCAAAUUACAUUUUUUUAAUGGAAAUGUUAAGUAAAAUAAUUUUUUUUAAUUAUGUUGGCAUGGUAAUUCACGUGACAGUUCAUAUAUAUUUUAUGUUCAUAGAGCACUAUUUGUUGUAUAUGUCAUAUCAACAAAAAAUUAAAAAUUAUAAAAAUGUUUUAAAAAAUUUAAAAGAUAAAAAUAAAAAUUUAUAAAAAAUAAGCAUGAACCACACACAAAUUGCCAUGUACAUUGUCAUAUUUAAAAUUUUAGUAAAUAUUUUUGUUAAAAAAAUAUUAUAGUGAAAUUUGACUUUUUAAAAAAAAAAAAUUAACAUCAAAUUAGUUUAAAAAAGCGAUUAAACCUUUUUUAUUGCUUCAAAACCGCGUUAUAACUCUAAACCUGUAUUAAGCAUUAAUUAAAUUAAACCCUAAAAAUGUUCAAAAAAGGCACAUAAAUUUCACUUUAUAGAUUUCUUGCAAGCAACUCCCCAAAGCUUUCGUAUAGUUGGUGGAUCGACUAGGAAACAAAAUCGAAAACCAGUUUUUACCUUUAUUUUCAUAUAAUCUAAACCUCCACAAAAUCUUACUUUUUGUUGACGAAAUAUGUUGCACACGUAAAAUAAAGAAAAAGAAACCACAUUAUUGAGUGUUAAAACUUGAAUAUGACAUUGUUAAGAGAGAACUAUGAACCCUAAAAGAAAAAAAAGAAAAAAAAAGACAGCUAUUUAUAUAAUUAUAAUAAAUUAUUUCUAUAUUUGAUCAUCCAUGGUGGAUAUAGCAUAAACACACUACGAAUCCCAUAUGGGCUGAGUGCAGUUUCUCUGUUUACAAAUUAAGAAAUAACUUAUAAAGAAUAGGCUUCUUCAAAUCUCUAAACAACUCCUACCCUUUCUUCUCAGAUAUCAAUAAAAUGUUGACACCGAACACAGUUGAUCUCAGUCCCUGUUGGAUCUCUAAACAGCUUCUACACCUUUCUUCUUAUAUAUAUUUAAAUCCAUAAUAUGUUCACACCGAACGCAGUUGACACCAGUCUGGUUUGGAUCUCUAAUCUUCUCCUAUCAAAUACAUAAAUGCAUGUUCACACUAGGUAAAAGUUAUGGCUUGAAUGACUUUAUCGUUGAUCUUGUUCAUUGAAGGAUUGAAACGGUAACCUGAAAAUCCAUUUCCCAACGUGGGAUUCUUUCCUUAACUUUUCCAACUCUUGGUGAUUAUGUUUUUUGAUGGAACCAACGAAGGAUUUUAACCUUUGCAUGGCGAGUUCAAGUGUAUCUUCCGACAUGUUAGCGAAACAAACCCUAAACCACCCUGGUUCAUUACAAUGGCACGAAGAACCAGGAGAAAUGUUGAGUUUAACAUCGUAAAUUAUCCUUUCCCAAAGCUCCAUUUCAGCUUCAAACGUGUCGGAGCUUAAAAGAUGUCUCAUAUCAACCCAACAAAACAACCCAGCAUUGCUUUCUAAGCAACGGAUCCCUGAUUUUUCCAGGCCGGAAACCAGUUUCCUCUGUCUCUUUAAAAGCCUGUUUUGGUUUUUAACAAUGUAAUGGUUCCUGAAUUUCUUGUCGGAUAACAUGACUGAAAGAAGGUACUGAGUUUGUGAAGAAACAAGACCGAAACUCGACAUUUUCACGGCGGCGGACACGACGGUGGGAUCGUUGGAAUAAAUUGCACCGACACGAAAACCAGGGAGACCCAGAUCUUUAGAAAGGCUGUAAACAAUAUGAACUCUGUUGUUCUUCUCCAUGUUCAUGUCUUUUAAAGCUUCUAUUAUGCUUAUGAAGCUUGGGGAAUUAAACACGGUGCCGGAGUAUAUUUCGUCACUGAUUAAAUGGAUUUGUUUUUCGGUGAUGAAGUUGAUGAGCAGGUUUAGUUCGGGUCUUGUCAUUGUUGUGCCUAAGGGGUUUGAUGGGUUGGUGAUUAAGAUUCCUUUCACUGUUAAGUUUUUUUUUUGUGCUUGUUGAUAAGCUUCUUCAGUGGCGGAUGCUGUGAUUCGGAAACAAUUGGAGCUGGUACAGUGGAUCGGUACUAUCUCAACACCGGUUCUCCAUUUGAGAUCUCUGUCGAAUCUGUGAAACAAUGGCGGAAGAAAAUAAUUCAUAUAGUUUGUCGGCACGUAUUUGAUGAUUUCAUGCAUAAAGUAACAGGUAAAAUUUUUAUUUUAGUCCUUCUACAAUGCUAAGCUUUGACAUUUAGUCCCUAUAUAUUAAUUUGACUUAACUUAAUCCUCUACUUUUACAAUCCCAUUAGUUAGUCCAUUGUUAGCUAUUUCGAGUAAAAUAUGUAUAUGGAUUUUUUUUUCUUAAAAACACUGCUUUUAACUCAUCAUUUUAAGGGUGAAAUUAAAGGUAGGUAAGGACCCUAGCCCCAAAAAGGUAUAUCUACUUUUUAGUCCUCUAAAAAAUUUUAAAAUUAAAAGUUACUAUGGUAAAAAUUAUAUUUUGGCCUCUUAAAAAUGAAAAAAAUUAUAUAUAUUUUCUUAAAAAAUGAUGAAAUCAUAAGUUCAUGCAUGAUAAAAUUACAGUUUGAUCUCUCAAAAAUUUACAACUAAAUUUCACCUCUAAAAAAUUUUUUAGUUUCUCUCUUGUAUCAGGUUGACAUAAAUUUUUUGUGUUGGAAAAGGUGUUUUUAAGAAAAAAAUAUACAUUAAUAUUUUAACCAAAAUAAUUAAAUAUUAAUGUUAUUCUAAAUCUAAAAGGAUUAAAUCAUGUCAAACUAAAAUGCAAAAGAUUAAAUAUCCAAUUUGAUCAUAAUAAGGGGACCAAAAUCAUAAUAUUGUCCUUAAUAAAACAUACCCCGGGUAAUACGGCGUAGGAAGAAGAAAAGCAUCGCAAUGUUCAGCAAGACAGAACAUGAGAGUUUCAUUGGCGGAAGUUGCACCGGCGGUGAGGACUAUGUUAUUUGGAUCAAAACUCACUUUGUUUCCUCUGAUUUCAGCCAUGAAAUCAACCAAUGCCUGUUCAUAACAAAUAUCAUCAUCUUUAUUUCAUUUAUAUCAUUAAAAUAAAAUGGAAGUCUUUAUUUUUAUAAGCUUUAUAAAGCUUAUACCUUUUUAAAUGCAGGAAGGCCGUGAUAAUCUUGGAAAAGAGCAAGCUCUCUAAAAAUGGAUUGCCCAUCUCUCUUGCACCCUACAGCUUCUGGGUUUUUAGCCAACCAUGUCUCUAAAAGAUCAAACGACAGCUGCAAAUAAUAAUAAUAAUAACUGCAUCUUUAAUAAGCUAUAUAUAUAUAUAAAGAAUCCCCAUUUUUAUGGGUUUUUUUUUUUUGAAUUAUUGUGAGUUACCUGAUUCUCUGCAAGACCCAUUUGAAUGAUACCAUUAGGGUUAUGGAGAUGAUGGUAAGGGUUUUUCUCAUAUUCAAGCCAUCCUAAGAAGUAAGAAGAAUCUUGGCCAUGUGAGUUGCACGUGGCUUUUCUUGACAAUAACCCCAUUUUUUAUCUUAUUUGAUGCCACCAAAUAUGAUAUGAUACUUUUAUUGCAAUCUUGUGUUUGUUGUUGUUAAUGGAGAUCGAUUGGAUUCAGCUAUUGCUAUUGGGUAUAUAUAUACACAUUUAUUAUUCAAUAAUAAAAAUUCAUAAAUAAAAUACUUGACCAACCUGUAAAGUCCAUGCUGAAUUAGGACUCUAAUGUUUGAAACUGUGGCCCUUAUGUUCCCUUUUAUGUCUUACCCCAUAUAAUCCAUGUCGGCCACUUUGUUUAAUGUCCCUCAUUCCUUUUUUUAUUAUAAGCUCAUAAAUUCAAGGUAUUAACUACCCCAUGGACGGUGGAGUUUGGUAAAUCUUUGUUCCUCAAUGAUAAAGCAAAAGAAAAGAAAAGAGAUAGGCUUAGAUUCCUUAAAUUCUAUUAUAAUAUAUGUUUAUUCAAUUCAAUAUUCGAUAAUACAUAUAUAAUAAAUAAGUUGUUGAUCAUUAGAGGUGUUUAUGGGUCGGGUCUAACAAUGAUGUUUACAUACUUUUUAAUGUGUUGAGUGUUGAAAUCGUAUAUUCGACUAGUCUAUGAUGUAGAUUUCACAUGUUUUGGAAACUAACAAAAGUAAAUAUAUAUAGAAAUGUUUGGCUGUAAAUGAAACCGACAUAUGAUACCCUCCCCCCCUUGACAAGUUGCAUAUAUACAAAGGCAAAUUCAACUUUGUCUCAUCUUCCUUUUCUGUCAUGCUUAGCAUUUCUUUGAAAUUCCUUCAUUUUAUUUUCAAUUAGGGUUUUUCCCCUUUUCCAGGACUUGAAGAAGGCCACGUGGUUUUGUUGUAGGAGAAAGGUUAUUUAGACAUGUGAAUGUGAAACCCUUGUUUGGAUGAGUCGAAUUAUAAAAAUAAGUAGGAGUCUUGACUCCUUUAUUUAUAUAAUGAAAUUGUAAUUUGAUAUUUAGAAAUUUAUAAUUUUAUUUCGAUUUUUUAAUUUCAAAAUUUUCGAUUUCACCGGGCAGCCCCAAUAGGCUAUCUUAAUCUAUUCCUCAAUCUUCUUAGGGGAGACAUCAAUGGACCCAUCCCACCAUUAAUGUAACCUUUUCUUCGGUAACGUAGGCCCCUCUCCAACCCUCCAUGAAAUGAUCCCUUUGUUUCUUCUUUAUGACAUUGAUGCCUUGUCGUGGGUAAAAAUCUAAUUCAGUACCCAAAGAAAGGUUAUCGAAAAUGUUGCUUGGACUUUUUAAUUUUUUUAAAGUGCUCAGUAUCAAUAUUUAUAUCUCACCUAUAUUUAGGAAUCUAAUUAGGGAUGAAGUUAAAAAAUUUAUUUAGAGAUUCAAGAUGAAUUAUAAAAUUUUAAAAAAAAUGUGUUAAAAAAAUUUAGAUUAAAUUAUUAACUUUUUAUAAGACCAAAAAUGCAAAUUCUACUUAAUGAAAAGCUAAAAAAGACUUAAAUUUAAUGUUUUAAUUUAUAGGAGGGCUUAAAAUAAAAUUUUCCAACCUAACCAAAGGGGUUAAUGCCCCUGUUUGCCUCUGAUUAUCUCCCAUAACAUAACCUUCAAUAACCUCCAAAUAUAUGAAAAAAUUUAUUUAUACUUUUCAGGAAUAUACUUAUAUUGAAAUUCAUAUUUGAAUUGAGUUUACCUCCUUUCUUUUUUAAAAGUCUAUUUUGAUUAAAGACUUUACAUAGAAUAUAUAUAUAAAAGAGAAAACAAGGAAUAUAAGUCGUGGAAACAUUGAACUACAAAAAAUUCAAAGAUGAGAUGUAGGGUUUUUUCGUGUGUGAUUGAAGGGUUGAGGAUAUUAGUAGGAAUUAUAGUUAAAAUUUGCAAUGGAAAUUUAUAUAUAAAUAGGAUAACUUUGUGUUAGGUCAAAUUCGUUUUCUUGAAGCUUAAAAAUGGCUUUUGGACGGUUUUUAAAUUGAUUUACGAAAACCUUAGUGUUCAAGUGAUGUGAUGUUCAUGUUUAUUUUUCUCUAGGCUUGGUUGGAUAUUAAUCAAAUAUUGUUAAUUCCACAAACAUAUUAAACAUUAAUCAAACAUCUCUUUUAAUUUCAUUUUAAUUAAUAUCAGUUCUACUUAAAUCUAGCUAAAAUCUUAUUUCAUUGUUGGGUUUUAAAUCUUAAUUUAGAUAGAGAGGAAACUGAGUUAUGGUUUAAUCUCGUGUUGAUAUGAUAGUUAAGGUGUUCACCGCUUCAGAUUUAGUUUGAAUUUUUAGUCGCGCUAAUUGUAUUGCUGUUAGGACUUUACUCUUUUCUAAUAAUUCACAAAAAAAAAAAGUAUGGAAGAAGGUUAAAUAGAAAGGAGCAAAGUAUAGGAGAGAUUCUCGCGAUUAUAUUGUACUUGGAAGUUGAUUUUUGCACAUAUUUUAGUCAUGUAUUAGCUAUAAACUAAUCACAAUUGUUCAUUUUUAGCCACUCAUAUGACUUGCUUGUGUCAGAGAAAGAAAACCUUUUACUUAUUUUGAAGAUGGUUUAUUUUUUACAAGUGUUUUUAUUCAUCUUCUAAUUUCAAAUUUAAAUUUGAACUAAUUAUUCUUUAUUUUAUGUUUAAUUAUUUUAACACAUAUGUAUUAAAUAAUUUUUUUCCUCGUAUUAUUACACUAAUAUCCAGCCGUAACAUUAAUUAAUUAAAAUAUUUAUUUAAAAUUAUUAAAAUUCUAUUUGUUAAAUAUCAUUAAGAACAUUUAUAAAAUAUUUAUUAACAAACUUGGAUUAAUUUAAAUAACUCUUAAAAUAAACUGUACGCAUCAAUAAAAUUAUAAUUUGACAUAUUCACAACAUUUCUUAAAUAUAAAAUAAUUUAAAACUUAUAUUAUAAAUCACUUUUAAUCUAAAUUUUUUAAUCAUAACUUUUUUUUAAUUUUUAUCUCAUUAUUACAAUUAUGUUUAAAUUUAAACACAUUUAAUUGUAAUUAAUUUUACCACGAUUAUUUUUAAAUUUUGGAACACUAAUCUAUUUGUUACCACUAGCAAUGUUUUGUGCUUCACGAAACCUAAAAAUCUAAACCCUAUUUAUCAUGGGCUGGCAUAACAAAUUUCAAGUGACUAGAAUUUAUAGACAUGUACCCACAAUAAUUUCAUUUAGUCUAGUGUUAUAUAUCCAAAGUGGGUCUAGAUGUUAGCAAAUUAUGAGCAACCAGUGCACUUUAUUCUAAUAUAUUAAAGGAGUUAGUUUUAAAUUGAUUAACAUCGGUAUUAUUAUCAAUGUAAGAGAAUGUAGGUUUAAGUGUACUGAAGUGCAUUAUCCUCCUAUUUAAGAGUUGGGGAGGGACUAUGGGUAGUUCUAGUCAUUCUAUCAAAAAAACAAAUAUGAUAAAAAAAUUAAUGUUUAAAAAAAAUACAUCAAAGGAGCCUCUUACCUUUAUGAGCUUGUUCUUUUUUUUUUAAAUUAUUGGUUGCAUUAGUUUAUAUUAAAAUAAUGACAACCAGACCAUGCGGUUUGCCCCAUUGAUUUUAGUUCAUUGUGACUUGAUUGUAUCCAUCCUAACUUAAAAGUGAUUGUUAAAAUUUGAUACCAAUUAUGCGAUGGUAUGACAAGUUUCAAAUGAAAUAAUCCUUGGAGACUAUUUUGGAUUUUUUUUUUUAUAAAAAUGACUCAAAAGUGUUGAUUAUUUAUGAAAGUGGUCCACCUUGAAAAUCAUGUACGUAAAUAAUCUGUUUUGAACAGUAAAUCAAGGUGUUGUUGCUGCCAUUGGAAGCAUCACCCAUCAUAAUCACCUAAUGAUUGAUCUCUUAGAAUAAAAAAUGAUUUCUUUGGGUGUCACUGUUGACAUUGGUGACGCCAGUAUAAGUAUACAUAUACCUACUCGUUUAAAGUGAUCGUUUUCCUUAAAAAAAACAAUAAUUUUGUAGAUAGGUGCUGCCAAUGUCAACACACCAAAAAGAAAUUCAAAUUUUUUACAUGGCUAAAAUUCAAGUUUUGGGUCAUUUGUAUAAAGAAAAGGUAGAAUCAUAAGGGCAAGGUGGUGGGCGUUAUCAAUUGUUGUUGAAGGUAAAGAUCGUUUUUAGGGUUUUAUUCUUUUAGAAAAAACACAUCAUAAAGAAAGAUGAUUCUAACGACAUGUAAUCACAGUCCAAUAUUUUUCUUUCGACACUAUUGAUCUUGAAAGUGAUUGUUAAGUCUCUUUUCCUCAUUUUCAAGCAAGAGACUAAUCUUGGGUGUUCACUUGCCAUAACCCUUAGCUUUAUGCAAAAUUUUCAUGAGAUUGUAUAACAGUAUAAAUGACAUAUUAAUGUUUAAAAUUUAUUCAAAUUAAUUUAAAAAAUACUCAAAUUUAAUUUAAUAAUUAUACUAAAUUCAAUCCCAAGUAACUUGAGCAAGCCGAUUGCAAGCACCAUAAUAUUCUAUUCAAAACUUUAUACUUUUAUAUUAUAAAAUUAUACGAAUUCAAUUUUGAAUACCAAUGAACUUAAUCAAACUCAAUUAUUGAUAAAUGUUUCAAACUUAAGUAUGAAAAUUGAUAAAUGACUUAACUAGCUCAAAUAACUAAAUUAUGUUUCGAACCGAACUUAGAAAUUAAUGUUUAAUUGAACUUGAGCCGAGUAUGAAACUCUGAAUUUCAAAUAAACAUGAGCUUGUCGGCUCAACUCGAUUACACUAAGGAUAGAUACCUAUUAUCAAUAUCAACCGAUUUUGACCAGUUUGUGUAAGACCCAAUUCUUAUAGUCACUGGAUCAAUCCAACUGGCCAACAUGGUUUUUUAUUCCUACAAUAGUGACAAAUAAGUAUAGUAGCAGAUUCAAGAUCAAAUUAAAAAAAGCAUGCCAUAGGAAGACAAAUAGAAAUAUGAGUAAUCUCCUAAUGGGAAGCUUGAUUUACUUCCACAUUCAGAAAACAAUAUAACUAAAUAAAUGCAUGUAUACAACAAAAAGAUGUACUUUUCCCCAUCGAUUGAAUUAAUAAAUAUCAAACCUGUAAUGCUAAGGGCAUUAAACCAUUGAUACCAACGUCUCUUUUACCAAAUUUAGUUCCCCAACAGAGUACAUGUUGUAUGAGAGCUGAAGAUAUUUUUACUUCACCUUCAAUGCAUAUGACAACAAAAAUAAUGGAAAUCUGAUCUUGAUGACUUUUCUCUUUGUAUCAGUGGAAUGGAUUUAGGUGGAAUACUUGACAUGCUGGCAGGUAUGAACUCUUUGAUGUAGCCUGCUCAAACUUCUUCACGGCAGUUACAUUUUCUUUUAAGCUGAUUUGGUCGAAAAAACGAAUCCACCAAGAGGAACUCCGCAUUUUAGCCUUCAGAAACGAAACAGAUGUGUUAAUGAUAAGGUAAAUUUGAUCUUGAUACAUUCCGCAAAACAAAAAUGCUGAAUGACAGUUUUGAUUUUCGAUCAAAUGAAAGUUACAUAUAUACUAUGGUUCGUUUAAAUUCCAAAUCCUGUUGUUAUAGUAGAUGGAGACUUACUGGACGGCCGAAUUUCGAUAGUUCUGCCACUUUAGCCUUCUGAUGACCAGGGGUACCUGAUCGACAAAUGAAAAUAUAUCAUGUUAUAGUUAUGGUACAGCUUUUUUGCAAGAAAAUAUAUCUGGAUAUAAGCAUUUUCGGCCCGAGUAACUCUUGUUUUAUAAUUUAUAUAGAACUUGAAAGAGUAAGGGAUUACCUGCGAAAAUAAUGAGACCAUCAGAGGCAACCCUGGCCAACUCAAGCAGAGUCUUGUUCAGGUAUUUUGGAGAUAAGUAAUCAAGUGCAUCAGACACAAUAACAAGAGAAAAAGACUUUGGCUUAUAGGGAAGAGGGUACUUGAUAUCUGCCACACGUACAAUCCCUUUGCCCACAAGACUCUUGCAACUUUCUUCAACAUCCUCUAUAUCAUAUGGUUCCACACCCCAGGCUUCAGUAUCCUCUUCUUUCAAAAGUUUAGAGACAACUGAACAGGUAUCGGGUCCUACAUGCAAAACCUUGUGCAUGCUGUCCCCAUAUGCCUUCUUCAAAAAUGGUAUUGCCCUCUGAACUUCUAGACUGCAUGUAUAGUCACCUACAAAGAUAACAAGAAAUAAUUGAUUUUCAGAACAUUACACUCAAUGAAAACACACCCUUAACAGAGCAUGGCAAAUCCAUUAUAAUCAUAAACUUUCAGUCUUCCAUUUAUCACAGAAGAUGCAAACCAUAUCUAACUAAUAAAACCACCUCUGAUAAUCCCUUUUAUUCCUCGUGCCAAAAUUAAAUAAAAUCCCACCUUAUCUUUCAACUUUCCUUCCUCUAAGAAGUUAAAAGUAUCAUGGAAACCCCUAUACUAAGAGUCAUAUUGCAUUUUGCUCCCUCUACUAAAAAAUAGGCAAAUUAGUCACUGUUUAUUCGAUCAAAGAGCAAAUUGGUCUUUUCUUUUAAAAAUUUCAUCCCUUUGUAUUGUUAAAAACUAACAUGGAUAAAAGAAUAACUAGAUAGCGACACAUACGUGUACGUCCUGUUGACGUACAAGAACUAGUUUUUAAAGGUAAAAAUAGAUGAAAUUUUUUAUAAAAGGACCAAUUUGCUCUUUGAUUUAACGUAUAAGGACUAAUUUGCCCCUUUUUUUUCGUAUAGGGGCCAAAAUGAAAUCCAACUUCUAGUAUAGGGGCUUCUAUGAUACUUUUAACCCUCUAGAAAGCACUUCAGGAGAAGAUUAUGACAAAUUAUAAGAGAUUAUUCUAUGGUACAAGUAUCAAAUGCAAGAAAGCUCCAUAACCUUGAGAUGCAGAAUAAGGCCUCUAAGAUCAAUAUUUUUUUUUGUCCAAAAUAUUCUCUCCAAUGAAUAAAAAUAUCUUAUAUAUAUGCUCUCGGAUACAUAUGUGCAUUGAAUCUUAACUAAAUUUGAUAUAACAUGUGAACUCAUCCUCCCAAUUUAUCUACUCUACCAAACAAAGCAUUAAUGAAUCCAAUAAAUAUUCAAGUAGUUCCAAAGAGACAUGAUGACAUCAAAAUCAAAUAAAAAUCAGUAACUUAACGAGUUAAUUUCAUUAUGAACAUUAAAUCCAAUGAAGAAGAAAGUAAAAGCAUAACUUACCUUCGAUCCGACUAACCGCUUCACCUCGGAAUUUACCUAUAAACGCGAACAGUAUGAACAGUGUGAACAAUUAAUUGAACUAACAAGAUCAGCAUAUCCAACAAACAAAAACAAGUAAACACAAAUAAGAAAUUCUAAAAAAAAAGAAGAAUACCUGAACCACUAUAGGCAUAGCCAAUGAGAAGGAUAGCUCCCUGUAAACCAUUUUCAAAAAUAUUACCCUAGUUAAUUUCCUUUUCAAAAUGUAACACUAACUGAAAAUUUCAAAAAACAAAAAAGAAAUGAAAAGAUAAAGAUAUACCACAACGACAAGAGCGAUAGAUAAAAUAGGAGAAGAUCGGGCUUUAGAAUGUAAAGCACCAGAGAACGGGAAGUUUCCGCUGUCAACAAAGCGGCGUGUGGAACUUACUUGCCUCCUUGACAUUUUUGCUUUGCUUUUUACUCUUAUAAUAAUAUAUUUUAUGUAAUUGCUUACACUCUACCAAGCAAACAACAGAUUUACACAAAAUUUGAGCAAUUUCAUUGAAAAAACAAAACAGAUCCAAAAACAUGAGAAAGCUAACAUAAAAUGAAAGAAAUUAUGAAAUCAAAAAUCAAAAUUCACCUUAGAUUUGGAUUUUGGAUCUGAGAUCUGUGAAGGAAAAAAAGAAGCUUAUUUGGCUGUUUUUUUUCUUCGAACAGUAUACUAGUUUGAAUUUACACCAUUUUUGGCCAAAAAAGAGAAUUUAACAGCUAGUCGAGUUUGAAAGGGACUUGGGUUGGAUUGGAUACUCAGUAUUUUUAUUUUUAUUUUCAAUUUUUUUAAUUAAAUUUGUUUUUGCUUAAAGCUAAGAUCCAACGUGUUUUAGCGCGCCUUCGGGAGUUGUGUGAUACAUAUACAUAUACAGUUAUUAGCGCGUCGGUGAUAUGAUACGACGUCGCAUCAAUAGCUCGAAUAGCAAUGACGGCUAUUAGAUUUAAGGAUACCCUGCAAGUAAAAUAACAUUUCCUUCAAAAAAAAAUUAUAAAGUAAUUAUUAAAUUAUUUAAAACUUUUCGUUUAGAUAACUGGACUGUCAAAAUUUUUGUUGUUUAGUUUUCUAUUUGCAUAGCAUUUAUCAAUUGAAAAUUUUUAUUCCUCUUAUUUUUUACAGUUCAAUUUUUUUUUAUGAAAUAACUUUGAACGUAAUAAAUUUGAGAAUCAAAAUUCAACUAAUUUUUUUCUCCAGUCUUUGAAACUAACCAUCCGAUCGACUUAUAUCUAAAGUAUGUUCUACUCAUUAAUGAGUAUUAAUCACUACAUCGAUCAUUGAAUUUAUUAUUUGGAGUUCACUAAUAAUCCAAUGACAUAAAGAAAAACUUUUGAACAGAUCGAUUUUCUGCAUACUGGCUUGAAAGUGAUAGCAAAAUUUUGUUGCCCCAAUGGCAUGUUGAGCUUGAAAUGAAGAAAUAAAAAUCAAUGAAUCAUGUGCAAAACAUUUUGAAAUCAAAGUUAAAAGCAAUCUUAAAAUAAUCUAAAAGUUAAUACAUGCCAAUGAGUGCCAAUUACAAUACCAAUUGGAAAUAUAGACUACCUUGUCUCAUUUCAUGUUACGAGUUAUUUGAAGAGAAGACAAAUAGAAAUAUGGGUAAUCUCAUAAUAGGAAGCUAGAUUUACUUCCACAUUCAGAAAACAAUAUAACUAAAUAAAUCCAUGUCCACAACAAAUAGGUGUAAUUUUCCCCAUCGAUUGAAUUAAUAAAUAUCAAACCUGUAAUGUUAAGGGCAUUAACCCAUUGAUACCAACAUCUCUUUUACCAAAUUUAGUUCCCCAACAGAGUUACAUGUUGUAUGAGAGCUGAAGAUAUUUUUACUUCACCGUCAAUGCAUAUGACAAUAAAAAUAAUGGAAAUUUGAUCUUGAUGACUUUUCUCUUUGUAUCAGUGGUAUGGAUUUAGGUGGAAUACUUGACAUGCUGGCAGGUAUGAACUCUUUGAUGUAGCCUGCUCAAACUUCUUCACCGCAGUUUCAUUUUCUUUUAAACUACUUUGGUCGAAAAAACGAAUCCACCAAGAGGAACUCCGCAUUUUAGCCUUCAGAAACGAAACAGAUGUGUUAAUGAUAAGGUAAAUUUGAUCUUGAUACAUUCCGCAAAACAAAAAUGCUGAAUGACAGUUUUGAUUUUCGAUCAAAUGAAAGUUAAAUAUAUACUAUGGUUCGUUUAAAUUCCAAAUCCUGUUGUUAUAGUAGAUGGAGACUUACUGGACGGCCGAAUUUCGAUAGUUCUGCCACUUUAGCCUUCUGAUGACCAGGGGUACCUGAUCGACAAAUGAAAAUAUAUCAUGUUAUAGUUAUGGUACAGCUUUUUUGCAAGAAAAUAUAUCUGGAUAUAAGCAUUUUCGGCCCGAGUAACUCUUGUUUUAUAAUUUAUAUAGAACUUGAAAGAGUUAGGGAUUACCUGCGAAAAUAAUGAGACCAUCAGAGGCAACCCUGGCCAACUCAAGCAGAGUCUUGUUCAGGUAUUUUGGAGAUAAGUAAUCAAGUGCAUCAGACACAAUAACAAGAGAAAAAGACUUUGGCUUAUAGGGAAGAGGGUACUUGAUAUCUGCCACACGUACAAUCCCUUUGCCCACAAGACUCUUGCAACUUUCUUCAACAUCCUCUAUAUCAUAUGGUUCCACACCCCAGGCUUCAGUAUCCUCUUCUUUCAAAAGUUUAGAGACAACUGAACAGGUAUCGGGUCCUACAUGCAAAACCUUGUGCAUGCUGUCCCCAUAUGCCUUCUUCAAAAAUGGUAUUGCCCUCUGAACUUCUAGACUGCAUGUAUAGUCACCUACAAAGAUAACAAGAAAAUAAUUGAUUUUCAGAACAUUACACUCAAUGUAAUACACCCUUUCCAGAGCAUGGCAAUUCCAUUAUAAUCAUAGACUUUCAAUGUUCCAGUUACCACGGAAGACACAAACCAUAUCUAACUAAUAUAACCGCCUCUGAUAUCUUACAACUUACUUUCCUCUAAAAAGUUAAAAGCAUCAAAGGAUUCAUAUUACAUUUUGCUCCUUCUACUGCAAAAAUAGGCAAAUUAGUCACUAUAUAUUAGAUCAAAAAGCAAAUUGGUCCUUUCUUUUAAAAAUUCCAUCCUUUGUAUUGUUAAAAACUGACAUGGCUGAAAUAAUUAGACAGUGACACGAGGCACUAUCAAAGGAAAGAAAGUCCCAUAACCUUGAGAUGCAGAAGCAAGGCCUCUAAGAUCAAUAUUUUUUUUGUCCAAAAUAUUAUCUCCAAUGAAUAAAAAUAUCUUAUAUAUACGCUCUCGGAUGCAUAUGUGCAUUGAAUCUUAACUAAAUUUGAUAUAACAUGUGAACUCAUCCUCCCAAUUUAUCUACUCUACCAAACAAAGCAUUAGUGAAUCCACUAAAAUAUUCAAGUAGUUCCAAAGAGACAUGAUGACGUCAAAAUCAAAUAAAAAUCAAUAACUUAACGAGUUAAUUUCAUUAUGAACAUUAAAUCCAAUGAGGAAGAAAGUAAAAGCAUAACUUACCUUCGAUCCGACUAACCGCUUCACCUCGGAAUUUACCUAUAUUCGCGAACAGUAUGAACAGUGUGAACAAUUAAUUGAACUAACAAGAUCAGCAUAUCCAACAAACAAAAACAAGUAAACACAAAUAAGAAAUUCCAAAAAAAAAAAAGAAGAAUACCUGAACCACUAUAGGCAUAGCCAAUGAGAAGGAUAGCUCCCUGUAAAUCAUUUUCAAAAAUAUUACCCCAAUUAAUUUCCUUUUCAAAAUGUAACACUAAUUGAAAAUUUCAAAAAACAAAAAGGAAAAGGAAAAGAUAAAGAUAUACCACAGCGACAAGAGCGAUAGAUAAAAUAGGAGAAGAUCGGGAUUUAGAAUGUAAAGCACCAUAGAAUGGGAAGUUUCCGCUGUCAACAAAGCGGCGCGUGGAACUUACUUGCCUUCUUGACAUGUUUGCUUGCUUUUACUCUCUUAUAAUAAUAUCUUUGAAAUAAUUCUUUACACUGUACCAAACAUACCAAACAAACAACAGAUUUACACAAAAUUUGAGCAUUUAAAACAGAUCCAAAAAUAUGAGAAAGCUUUUAAAUGUUCGCAUAAAUGGAAGAAAUUAUGAAAUAAAAAUUAAAAAUUCACCUUAGAGGAAGAAUGAGAGGCUUUUGGAUCUCAGAUCUGUGAUGGAAAAAAAACACUUGUUUUUGCUGGUUUUUUUCUUCGAACGGUAUACUGAGUUUGAAAGGGACUUUGGAUUGAAUUGGAUACGCAGUAGUUUUAUUCUAUUUUUCACUGUUUUUAUUUUUAUUUAUUUAUUUAAAGUUGUUUUUGCUUAAAGCUAAGAUCCACCGUGUUUGGGCGCGCCUUUGUGAGUUGUGUGAUACAGAUAUAUAUAGUUAUUAGCGCGUCGGUGACAUGACACGGCGUCGUAUCGAUAGCUCGAACAGCAAUAGUGCCUAGUAGAUUUAAAGGUAAACUACACCUAAAUUAUUAAACUAUUAGUCAGUUACAUUUUGAUUAUUCAACUUCAAAAAUUUAUAAAAUGAUCACUGAACUAGUUGAAAGUUUGUAUUUAAAUUACUAGGCUGUUAAAAUCGUUAUUGCAUGUCAUUCUCUGUUUACAUCGCUUGCACUAAUAAAAAACUUUUAUUCCUUUUCUCUUUUAUAGAUUAAUUUUUUUAAUGAAAUAUGUUUGAAUAUUAUAAAUCUACUAAUCAAAAUCCAAAUAGCUUUUUUCUCUAAUAUUCAAUAUUGGUUGUCAGAUCGACUUAGAUCUAAGAUAUGUUAUUCUACUUGUUAAUGGGUUUUGAUCCACCAUAUCGAUCAACAAAUUAUUGCUUAGAGUUCACUAGGCAAGUUUUUUUUAGAAAAAAAAUUAACAUCCUAAUGAUUUAAAUAAAAACUUUCAAAUAGUUUAAUGACUUAAAUGAAAGCUUUCAAAUAGUUCAGUGAGCAUUUUGUAACUUUUUAAAUUGAGUGACCAAAACAUAAACUUAUUAAUAGUUUAGUAACCUUGGGUAUAGUUUGCCCUAGAUUUAAAUAAACUCAAUGGGUUAAUACACUUUUUGGCAUCUAAACUUGGUAAUUUUUUCACAUUGGGGCCUAAACAUUUUUUGUCCAAGUUAGUCCUUGAUACUUUCUUGAAAACUAAAGUUUAAGCUCUCAUAUGGGAACAAUUACCAAGUUCAAUGACUAACUUCAAGUAAAAUAAAGUUCAAACUUUAAUGUGGAACAAUUGCUAAGUUUAGGAACUAAAUUAAGAUGUUAAAAAUAAUGUUAUCUUUAAUUCAAAUCUCAUGUACAUUCCUUGAUACUAAUCAUAUGGUAUACCCACUAUUUGGGUGAAAGAAAUAAAAUUUAAUCAAUAAUUUAAUUUUAAUAACAAUAAUUAUUAACUUACAAUAGGACCUUUUCUCCAUCAAAAACAAAAGUUUAGUCAGUGAUAAGUACACUUGAAAACCUUUGGCACCACAAAAAGUUCAUAUGUUUCUUUGGUUGCUGGUUCAUGGGAGAAUCUUGACUAACGAGGAAUGCAUAAUGUGAGGUAUGUCUCACUAUCCUUUUUGUAAUCGUUGUAGUUUAUUUGUUGAAUUUGCUUUGCAUGCAGUUAGGGAUUGUGGCUUUGCCCAAGUAGUUUGGAAAGUUGCUAUUCCAAACUCCAGUUAGGGGGUUUUCUUUAACCUUCCCCUUGUCGAGUGGACCUGGUGGAACACUAGGAAUGUAAGGAAAUUAUCAAUCCAAAAUGGUGAAUGGAGCACCUUCUUUUCCAUUAUUUGCUGGUUCAUCUAGAAGAAUUAGAAUGAUUUUAUUUUUAAUAACGAUAGUGGUAAUAACCAUGAGCUUAUUGCCUCAACAGAAACGUAGACGAGUCGUUGAAUAACAAAACUGGGAUGCCUAGUUGGAGGAAGCGGUGGCAUUUCCUUAAUACCGAUUGGACCAAGAUUAAUGUGGAGUGGCUAUUGGAGGAGUUAUAAGAUGACCCUAAGGGGGAUGGCUUGUGGGAUUUGGCAUGGUGACAAGCUUGGUUGAUAUCUUUUAGGUAGAAGCUAAAGCGAUGCUUGAAGUGUUGAAACUAGCUUGAGAGCAGGGAUUCGACAAGUGGAAGUGGAAAUCGACAAUGCUCUCUUACUGGAAAUUUUGCGUUCUGGUUUUACUUGUGUAAACAAUAUAGCAGAAGUCAGACUCCUCCACACUUGGAUUGCUAAAGAUUGGCAAGUGAAGCUUAGACUUUUAUUGAGAGAUGGCAACAAAGUCGCUGGCUGCUUGGCUAAGGAAAUUUCGGGAAGCUUGACCCAAUUGAUCAUCCUUGAUGAACAUCCAAUCUAUGUGCGACAUCUAUUGGAAACUGAUGUUUAUCACACCACGUCUGAUGUAAUCGACGAAAAUUAGACUAGUUUUGUUUUAGUCUCAUAUUUUUCUUCUACCAAAAAAAUAGAACAAUAAUUAUUGAUAAAUUAAUAAAAUUUAAUUUGUUUUUAAUUAGAUUUUGUUUGUAUUUAUAAGAUCGAGAUAUUAAAAUUAUAUGCAAAAAAAUUUUAAAUAAUUUAGAAUAAUAUUUUAUUUAAUUUUUAAAAUAAACUAAACUAUGUAUAUAAUCAAUUUAAUAUGAGAAAUUAUAAAAAUUAAAAUUAGUGAAUUUCCAUUACUAUAUAAAUUGUGAGACUAUAAUGCCUACAUUAUAUGUAAAAUAAGGUUGAAUAUAAUAUAUUUAAAAGUUUAAAAAAAUCAAAUUCAUAUAUAUUUUUAAUUCGAUACUAAAUCAUCCAACAAAUCAAAUAAACUUUUUUUUAAAAAAAAAUCAUAAAUAUUACAUUCACAUUUAUUUGAUUAUUCAACUUAUACCAUUCUCAAAUAUUCUAAAGCACAACUUUGUGACAUAAUCUGAUUCUUAGAAUAAUGUCAUCAAAUUAAAAAAAUCAUGGGUGGGAACAAGAUGCCAGAAUAAAUAUUGUCCAAUUUUAGGACAAUAAAUCGAAAGUCGGUUCGAUUAUAUAGUGUUCGAAUGUUUUUAGUUUAUAAUUUUAAAAUAAUUUAUUUUUAUGUAUAAUUUUUUGAAAAUUUAUCGAAUAAUGUCGAAAUAAAAUUCAUAAAACGAAAACUAUUUUAUCAAAUAAAAUUUAAAGUUUAAAGAUUUAAAACUUAAAAUUAAUAUACAAAUUAAAAAUUGAAUCAAUACUAUUUAAAAUAUUUAAAAAAUUCAAUCAAAUCCAACCCAAUCUGGGUUAUAUUCCCAGCCUCCCACAAUCUUUACCUUUUUAUUGUUGCAUCUCCUAGCUGACUUUGGCAGCCGACAAUUUCCAAUUGAUAAAUUGAUAUCUUGCACACGAGAAAGAGUUUAAGGUAAAUUGUAUCGAAAGUUAUUAAAUUAUUAAUAAAUUUAUGUUUUAGUUUUUUAAUUUUAAAAAAUUACAAAUGAUCAUUAAGUUAUUUAAAAAUUUUAUUUAAGUCAUUUAACUUUAAUUUUUUUUUUGUGAUUAACACGUGAACUACAACACAAUUUGUCUUGUCAAUAUCGUUAACAUUUUAAUGGUUUAGUCUAUCUUCUUUUUGUUUAAAAACACAAUUUUAUUAAAAUUUGAAUGUUGAGUGCCAAAAAGAUAAAAACAAAAAAUAAAAAUAAAAAAAAAUCUUAUGAGAAAAGUAACAAAAGGAAUAAAUGUUAGAAAUUGUAUCACAAUUAUUUUUAAAAUGUGAUCAAUCAUCCUUAAAAGGAUGAGCCUUGGCUCUCCAAAAUUGUUAAAUUUCAUUUAGUACCUUUAGAAAUUUCGAAAUUAUAAAUUGAUGCAACGAUAAAAUUACAUUUUUGACUUGAAGAUGAUAAAAUAUAGUUUUAGCUCAUUUAAAAAAUUUGAAAUUAUCUUUGGUUCACCUGUUUCACAUUGUUGCCUUCAUCACCUUUCAACCAAUCCUUCAUUUUGAAGGAAUCCAAAAGAAGAAAAGGUUUUUUUUUUCCAGACAUUUCGUUUAACACUUUGACAUAACCAUACAGAUAAAAAAAAAGGGUCAGAAUCUUACUUUUAUUCUGUCGAAUAUAAGUUAAAAUGUUCAUGAACCAUUAAUGCAAAUCUCACAGUACAUAAACCAAACCUCAUCAGAUAAACAAAUAGAGCAACAAUGGAAGUUGAGUAUCAUUGCUGCGAAACAGGGUUCUUCAUUAGGAUCACUACCGUUGCUGGUCUCGUUUUGUUUGCCGGAUUGAUGUCUGGUCUCACAAUGGCGCUCAUGUCUUUGAGCCUCGUUGAUCUCGAAGUGCUCGCUGAAUCUGGAACACCGACCAAUAGCAAACAUGCCGGUAUGUAAUGUUCUCAUGACACCCUCUAACUUGCUUCUUCUUCUUCUUCUUCUUCUUCUUCAAAUGAGUUCCCUUUACAGUGUUUUUCAUUGAUUCAUUACAGCAAAGAUACUUCCAGUUGUUGGGAGACAACAUUUGCUCCUCUGCACUUUGCUCAUCUGCAAUGCUGCAGCUAUGGAGGUUCGAAAUAUGAAACCGUUGGACAACUUUUAAGGUAUUUUGUCGACAGUUGAGAGCUUCUAACUUAUGAGGUUACAUGAUUUUAUAGGCCCUUCCAAUUUUUCUAGACAGCUUGGUGUCAGCUUGGGGUGCAAUCCUUAUUUCAGUCACCCUCAUACUUAUGUUUGGUGAGGUAAGUUACUAAGCUGUAAGCUCCAUUUCAUGUUCUUGGUCACAUGUUUUAAGCUCGUCUUGCUCUCUUUCUUUACGAUCCAGAUCGCUCCGCAAGCGGUUUGUACGCGGUAUGGAUUGGCGAUUGGUGCAAAAGUUGCUCCAUUUGUUCGAGUCCUCAUUUGGAUUUGUUUCCCAGUUGCAUAUCCAAUAAGCAAGGUGAAAACUGAAAACUGAAUCAACUUCACUAUAUCUCAGCUGAACCUCUUAUCUGUGCUCUGUGUUUGUUUCAUUAGCUAUUAGACCUUCUCCAUGGAGAAGGACACGAGGCUCUUUUCCGCCGUGCUGAAUUGAAGACACUUGUCGAUUUGCACGGCAACGAGGUAUGAUGAUGCCCCUUUUCAACUACAAAUCUAACAAAUCAAUAGCAGCAAUGCAAAGUAAAAACAAUCUAAUCUUUUUGUGUAGGCUGGCAAAGGUGGAGAAUUGACACGUGAUGAGACAACAAUCAUAGAAGGUGCACUUGAGCUAAGUAAGAAAACAGCAAUGGAUGCAAUGACACCUAUAUCAGAAACUUUUGCAAUUAAUAUUAAUGCCAAGUUAAACAGGCAAGAAGAGAUGUGGUAAACAACAUUAUAAGUUACAUUUACCAUAGAUGAAAUUUAACCAGUAUAUGCAAUACAAAAACAUGCAGAGAUUUAAUGAAGUUGAUCCUGGAGAAAGGGCAUAGCAGGGUACCUGUUUACCACGAGAGAAUAGAGAACAUAAUUGGGCUUAUUUUGGUAAUUCUCUUAAUGUCAGUCCAAUAAAUAUUGGGCUAAUAGUUAUUUUGGUCUGUAGCAACUAAUAGUGCUAUCAAAUUGGAUCUACUAUGACAUUAUGUCAAGUUCCAAAUUUCAGCAUAACAAAGAGACUAAAAUCACAAUUAGACCAUUAAAAAUGUUUUUGCAAUUUUUGUUUGAUAGGGCCACUAAUAUUCUAGUUUUUCAUAUUAGGUGAAGAACUUAUUAACCAUCCAUCCAGCAUCUGAGGUGCCUGUUAAAAACAUCACUAUUCGCAGGAUUCCAAGGUAGUUUUACUUAUACCAAGUACACAACAUAUUUGAAUAUGGGUACGGAAUACUUGGAAAAAGUUUAACAUGCUCGUAUUUGACGCUCACCCAAAUUAAAGUAACAUAUACAGAAUGUUAUUAUCUGCUAAGAUUUGGUUUAAGAUUUGUGUGUUGUUUGUGUGUGUUCCAGGGUUCCUGAGUCAAUGCCUUUAUAUGACAUACUAAAUGAGUUUCAAAAAGGUCACAGUCAUAUGGCUGUUGUUGCAAAGCAGAACAACAAAACAGAGCAUGCAACCAGUGAACUGUCAAACAAAGAGGUGAAGGUGGACAUCAAUGGUAAAAAGCAUCAAAAAGGGAAAUGCUUACCGAGCAAGAGAUCAGUCAAGAAAUGGAAAGGCUUAGAACGAAAUUCAGGGAGAGUGUCGUCCAGAAGCAAGAAAUGGGGAAGGAACUUCCACUCGGAGAUACUGCAAUUCAACGAUGAUUCGCUCCCAGCGACCACUGGAGAAGGAGAAGCUACUGGCAUUAUAACACUGGAAGAUGUCAUUGAAGAGCUUUUGCAAGUAAAUGAUUUUUUUUUUUUCAUGAAUGGAUAUCUCAAUUAACUUUUUUAUUUUAUUUUUGCACAUGCAGGAGGAGAUCUUUGACGAGACAGAUCAUUGCCAUGAACAUUAAUGAUAUCUCCAUAGAGUGAAGCACAAACCUAAAGCAAAGAAGAAGUAUUUGACAAUGCAUAGAAUACAGGAAGAUUUUUUGAAUUAUUUAUCAUGGUUUGUCAAUUAUAAAUUUAUAAUGACUACUAAAGUUGGCAAGACAUGUUUAAUAUACUUGUAUAUAUAUACACCUGUUAUGCAUGUGUUAGAGAAUUUUGAUAUGUUUAAUGAAUACUUGUGUUGAACUACAAAGUUAAUGAUAAGAAAUGUAUCAUUUUCCUCACAAACAGUUACUACCAACAAUGUUGUUGUAUGGCAACCAAAAGUCAAAAGCAUUUCAGAUGCUCCUAAUAGGCAACCAUAUCAACAAAGGAUUCUAGGCCUGAUUAGAAAUAAAUUGCAGACCAGCCAAGUCAUGAAUGAAAAAAGUAUUUCUAGGAAGGAAAGCCAGAUAUAAUAAAUACAAGAAACACCUAAAAAGGAAUGAUAAUGUGCAAAAAAAAAAAAAUGAUGCUUGGCAUCGAAAAGCAGUGGCUAUGGACUUCUUUCUAGUUCUGACUACCUGCAGAACAAGCUGACUGGUUCUAAAGAAUAUAGAGGCUCCCCCAUUUCUCUACUUCAUACCAAAGCAAUCUGAUCGGUAAUUUUGUUAUUAGGUUCAUUACUUGGCAAAUGACCACCUUGUGAUGAAGUUGUUAAAUGCCAGAUCUGCUACGGGCUGAACCCCAUCGACGUCGACGAGCCCUCCUCUUUCUACCAUCUGUCUUUUCCUUUACUUUUUCUUUCAAGUCUCUCUCCCCUCGCCGUUUAUACAUCUUAAAAGUGAUCUCUCUGUCUGCAGCCAUCUUCCUCACCUUCUCUGUUAUCUCAGCUGCGAUCUGCCUGUUAUACAGUUUCCUCAAACCCUUCAUGAGCUUUGCAAAAGUAUCAGGCUGUGGCAUUAAAUCCGCAUCCAUCAUUUCCAUACAAUACGAACAGGCUUCCUUCACGUGCCCUUUCGAGAAAAGGGCAUGAAUCCAAAUUGUCCAUGCAGACACAUUAUGUUCACAUCCUUUACUAACGAUACAACUCCAUACAUCCUUAGCCAUUUCAAGCUUCUCAGCCCUUAACAAAGAAUUCAACAAAUCCUUCAAAAUCCCAUAUUGAGGAACACAAAACAGACCCCUUCCAACCAUUUCUUUAAAAUGCUCACAGGCCUCAACCAAACAUCCUUGUGCAAUAAAACCAUGGAUCAUAACAAUGAAACUAUCAACUCCUGGACUAAAUCCACUUCUUUCCAUCUCAUUCCAAACCCGAGAAGCUUCUUUAACUUCCUCUAACUUACAAGCUAAUCGAAUAACCACAUUAUAAAUACCAGCAUCUGGAACACAACCAAUCUUCCUCAUCUCCUCUAUCAACUCCAAACACUUUUCUAACUCUUCCUUCUUCUCACGAGCCACCAUAAUAUGCAAAUAAGUUGACGAAUUUGGUACAAGCCCCUCUGUUUUCAUCCUAUCCAAAAGCUCAUAAGCUCUCUCAAGCUUCCCCCACUUACAAAACCCACUUAUCAAAGUAGUAUAAGCCAAAACAUCACCUUGACAACCAUUUUUCUCCAUUUCAUCAAAAACCCUCAUUGCUUCCACCAUUCUAUCAGCCUUACAAAGUCCCUGAAUCACAAUGGUAUAUGAACAUGCAUUGGGGUCAAUCCCUUUCCUCCUCAUUUCUUUCAAUAGAUCAAAAGCAUCCCCCAUUUUGUUUCCUAAAACAUACCCACUCAACAAAUUGUUAUAAACCACAAAAUCCGGCUCGAAACCAGCUUCUUUCAUUUGAAUCAACACAUGUUUAGCUUCCAAAAUCUUCCCUUCUUUACACCAACCAUAUAACAAAGAAGUGAAAAUUUUUAAAUUCGGCUUAAACCUCACCUUCAUUUCCUCAAAAACUAAAGCUGCGUCUUUUACAUCCCCAUUUUUACAUAAAGCAUCUAACAAUGCCCCAAGCACGGCCUCGUCUUGUGGACAACCGUACUUAGGCAUUUCAUCGAACACUUCAAUGGCUUUUUUAACCAUCCGUGAAGAAGCAAACCUUCUUAUCAAAACAACAAACAAUUCAGCCGUAAUGAAAUGGGGAUUUUCAUUUCUGAUUUCUUCAAGUAAUGCCCAAACGGCACCAAAUUGUCUCAUCUUGCCUAAAAUCUUAAUCAUCGCUUUGUAAAUUUCAUAGCUUGGGUGAUAUCCAGGUUGUUUCGAUGCCCAAGUGAAGAACUUGUAACCCAAAUUACCGGCGUCGCCACACCGGUUCAAUACGCGUUCGGUUAAACCGUGGCGAAAAACGACGCCGGACUGUUGUAAAGCGAGGUUCAUCUUUGGGGCGCGAGUGUGGAAUUUUCGGAGGAUUCUGUAAAUCUUUUCGACAUCGGAAGCAAAGUCGUCGACACGUCGGUCGUUUUCGGGUCCAAAUUCGGGUUGUGGGGUUCUAAGGGUAACUAAACCGAACCCGGGUUUGGAACCGGUCGAGAAGCCGCCAUCGUUGUUGCUGGGAAUGAAGUGGUGGGUGUUUGGAUAGAAGGAAAGUGAAAGAAAACGGUGUUUGGGGAUAAGAGAGAAUGAUUUGGAAGAGAAUCUUCGCAUUGUUUUUAUGUUGUUUGCAAAGGGUGAAAAGCUUUAACCUAUUUUCUCAGCAGAUGUUACCAUUUUCUUGCAUUUUCUCGGAAAAUGAGUGUUCUUUUCACAAGGGUGAAGAACGGAAAUUUAAAACGUCAAAAUUUAUAAAAAGUCUGUAUUAUGUGUUUUAUCCCGAUUUAGUCCCUACUAUAAUUUUUAUUUUUGGUCCUCUACUUUUUGCGUUAAUUCCGCGAUGAUGAUUCUUGAUAUAUUUUGGUAGGAAGACUUCUUCAUUCCUUCUCAAUUUCGACAUUAAUUAAAUUAGUCCCUCUAGAACAAAUAAUAGUAAUUUAAUGUCUGUCAAUUUCGAAAGUGAUGAAUUAAAGACAAUUAAUCAUUGUGUUAUUGUUUUCCAUCAAUUGUACAUGAUUUUAAUUAUUAUAAUAAUCAAUUUAGCUUUUAAAAUUUAUACAUUAUAUCAAUUUGGUCCUAAUUUAACAAAUUUAUCUUGCAAUAUUUGUGUAAAUGUUGAGGUUAAAUUUGUUAAAUUUUUUUAGAAUUAAGGCAAAAAUGUGUAAACAUUGAAAGUUAAAUUUGUUAUCAUAUUGAUUUGCUCAAUUUCAAAAUUGAAAGAGACUAGAGAGAUUUUUUACCGUAUAUUUUAUAUGCUUUGGCAAAUAUUAUAUGUUUUAUUUCAUUUUUGUGUCUUUUUUAGAUAUGCAAAAAAAAAAAGUGUCCAACUUGUAUUUUUGUAUAAAAGUGUUUUUUUAAAAUGUUUUUUACUCAUUCAACUUUAAAAUGUUACAAAAUGGUUAUUGAAUUGUUUGAAAGUUUUUAUUUAAGUCAUUACACUGUUAAGUUUUUUUUAAAAAGUUUGGACAACAAGUUCUAACCAACAAUUUGACAAUCAGUAUGACAGAUCAAUGCCGAACAUACUUUAAAUACAACUUGGUUUAACGAUUAGUGUCGAAGAUUAAAGAGGAAAGUUGUUUGGAUUUUGGUUAUAGAUCCGUAACAUUCAAAGUUAAUUUCAUGUAAAAAAAAACUGAGCUGUAGAAAAGAAGGGAAAAGUAAACUUUUGAUUGGCAUAGGUAGUGAAAAUGGAGAAAGACAUAUAACAGCAAUCUUAACAACUCGGUGGCUUAAAUAAAAAUUAAUUCAGUAACUAUUUUGUAUCUUACUAAUAAUUUAGUGGCAUUAUAUGUAAUUUACCCAAUUUGUAUACAUAAAACUUCUCAAUUUUUUAAUAUAUUUACAUUAUAGCAUUAUAUAUUAUUAUAAAGUUAAUUUUUAUUUGAUAUAAAUUAUAUAAGGGAUAGGGAGAAUUUAAUUUUUAACAGAGGUUCCAUUUGGAGAAUUUUGUUCAUAGAAAGAAUAGUAUCAAAACAUAUCUUACAGUUGUACAAUGUCCUCAUCAUACAUGCAAUAUAACACUUAUCGAUCAUGGGGUCUAAAGCGAAGAGGUAAUGGUUCCAAGCUUUUAAUCUUGGUUGCAUCAGUUGACGACAGGAGGAGCUCUAUAUACCGCCGGAACCGUAGCUGGGAAGAACAUCUGUCUCACUCCCUCUGCCUUGAUUAUGGGGAAAAUAAUUCCAGAUGCACUCUGCAAUAUACAGGGAACAAUGUUCAGCACAAGGUGUCGACAUCCAAUAUGCUUAUACAGAUUUUAUGCAUUCAUUUUGGAUUCGAAUAACAUUCAAGAGCUUAGAGGGUUGAAAUUUCGUACCGAAAUUAACCUAGCUCCAAUCCACAUGCGUUGGAACGAAGGAAAAGGUAGGAGCAGACGACCGACUCCGUAAAUCGCGACGGCAAAGAAAUGAAGUACUAAACUCAACGGCCGAGGGUUUAGACCGGAGAGUAAAGCCACUGGUCCUGUUGAAAAAAUACCUCCAAGGCUCAAAUAGUCGAAACAGGCUUGGCGCAUUUCCUUCCUUGCUUCGUCAGGUGAAGCGGAAAACACCUUGUAAAGAGCACCGGCCAGAGUAUUUAUUGUAGAUGCCACAGGCUGCGAAAAAACGUUGUGUUAUGAGCGAACCGCAAGAAAAUAUUGAUAGUAUAUUGUGAAACCAACUGACCUUGCGUAACGUGUAGAAUGAUUCGAGAUAGCUGGUUAAGGAGGCUGCAUCAUGAAGGUUAUGCAAAGGCCUAAGAAGAUCUCGAAGUACAACAAUAUCGGACAAUGCUACGGUCAUACCACCGCCGGUUAAAGGAUGGCGCAUGUUGAAAGCAUCUCCCAUAAGAAGUGCACCUGGAGUCGGAUGAGGAUCAGCCGGCAUGCUUCUAUUUGGCAUGGUUCGGAUAUUACCUUUGUCGACUGCAGCUAUGAAGGCAUCGCGAAGCUCGGGUGGAACCUGAAACAGAACACUCUCUUCGAUUAAACCAUGAUAAAACAAUGUCUGCACUGCAGUGGGCAACCGAUGCAAGAUACCUGCUGUGCCACCACGGUCUUCAAAUGAUUCGCCAUUUCCCCAUUAGCAACGGAAGGAACUUUCUUCCCAGGUACAUCGACCAAGCAACGAACCUCUGUACUACUAAUCGGAUAAAACAAGAUGGGUGAAGGAUCGGCUAGGAUAACGUGGCCAUGAUUCGAAAACGGGAGUUCACAGUUCUCUAAGACCAAACCCACAAAACAAGAGGGUACAUCCACCUAUAGAACAUCACCAACAAAACAAGCAUAUGCAUAUUGAAUUGUAGUUCCAAAGAACACGAUAUGUUAGCCAUGGUUGUUCUACUUUAUAGAACAAUUAUAAGACAACAACUUUCACCUUAGGGUUGCAAAGGGACCUGCGAAGGUUCGAAAAACAACCAUCGCAUACAAUCGUAAGAGGAGCAUAAGCUCUUAGUUCUUCACCAUCUUUAGUUUUGUAUUGCACCCCUAUAAUUGUCCCUUUUUCUUCAAUCAAAGAUGUCACUGUCCCUUGCUCUAGCUUUACACUGAAAAUUUAUACAUAGCAAAGGUUAAAGAAGAUCAAUUUUAAGUUUAUAUGACAAUGCUGCAGUACUAAACCGAGGAACCAAAAAAGAUUUACUUCGGAAGAGUAGCGGCUUUUUCUCUCAUCCUUUGUAUUAAACGGCCAUUAUGGAAGCUUCGUCCUGAAACAUCUGCCUGAAACUUCUCCAAGGGAUAUGACAAUUUCGUGUUUCUCCCGUCUUUGAAGAGAGCGUACCCGAACACACGCUGAGCAUCAAUGUCCUCUACGCAAUCUGUAAAUCAAGAGUACAUGAACUUAACAAGUUGCAUUUUGAAAUCAUGGGCAACAGAUUCAACCAUAUGCAUAUACCUUCAAGGCCUAAUUCAACUAGUUUAAGGUACCCUCCUGGCUGCAACAGUUCUCCAACGAUCCGAUCCGGUUCGGUCAAGUCUCGUUCGAUCACAUGAACCCGCCUUCCAUCCUGGAAAUGAUUGUUAUUUUCGAUAGAGCAUUAAAUAAACUCAAAAAGUUCAAGCACUUUUAAUGAAUCUAAUGCUUCAGAAAUUAUGUAUUAAGCAACCUCUAUAACAAGCCGUUUAUAUGUUACUAAUAUCUAAGAGUGUCUCGAUUGGUUGCGAUACGAAAAUAUAACCUAUAAGAUGUAACUCAAGUGGUAUUAUACUUGCAAAUAUAUGACAUACAUAUCUUAGGUUCGAUUUUUCCCGCAUAUAGAUAAUUACAUAAUUAACUACACACAAUGCCGAUCUCUCCUCUGAACUUUGCAGGUUGUGUCUCUAUCAAUCAAGGCGUUGAUCACUGAACUUAAGCCCACAACAGACUUCAUAAGGCUCUCGAACUCUCCACAAAAUCGGACAACAACCACAAGGACAAUAAGUAAUAAUUAUUGGAGACUUUAGUGGAUUACACUUCGAAAACUAGUUUCAGCUACCAAUCUGAUAUAGUUUGUUUAGCAGAAAAUCCAAAUUUGCAGUCAUCACCAAGAAAAAUCUAUAUAUUAUAUAUGCUAAACUAUCUUUUUCAUGGCAACUAGGUCAACAAAGUCAAAGUCCAAACCAGUUUUGUUUACGUGAAAGCAAAUAUAAUAAUAAUAAAUCUCAAGCAAAAACAAAAUGAAUGAAAACCCAGAUUUUCAUCAACACUGAAAUCUCAUUUUUCCUGUGAAAAAAAUUACAACAUUACAUAGUACGAAAAUUAGAAAUUUUACCUUGCCAAGGGUAUAAGCAAGCGCAGCACCAGCAACACCGGCACCGACGAUGAUGACUUCAUCGCCGGAACCAUUUCCAGGCGAGCAUUCUCCUUUGCCGGUACCGGUUUGGAUCUUAAAUUCCCUAGAAUACCCUUUCUCGAAUCUCUUCUUCCUGGUGUUAUUAUCAUUAUUAUUAUUAUUAUUAUAGCGCCGCAAAAAGAAAAGAAAAAGGAAGGCAAAAAGGGAAACCAAGAACGUGCCGACAAUAUAAUUAUCGAAAACCAUCUCCAUUUUUUUUUUCUUUCAAAUUUGGGAAUGAAGGAGAACAGAGAGAUAGAAGGUUCUAGGUUUAUGCAACAAUGGGGUAGAUUUUGGAAAUGGUGUUUUGUGAAGUAUAAAUGUAGAAGAAAGUAUGAUAUGUGGUGCUGAAUGGAGGUGUGUUGUAGGUAUGGGACCAGCGACUAAUAUGGUAGUUAAGAGUUAAGCUAAAGCAUUGAAGAACAUUGAAUCAUAAUAUUUAAAGUUUUUUUAAAAACAGGGUCGGAUUCUCACUUUUACAUAUAUAUAUAUAUAUAUCUAUAUAUUUACUUAAAAUUUACAGCUUUCAACUUCUUUGUCUUUGAAGUGGGAAGACGACGACCAAUACCAUGAUUUUGGCUGCUAUUAAAUAGCAGAAGAAGAUGGUCUCUUGUCUCUCCAUCGGUCUUUUUCUUUGCUUAGAUCUGAAAUAGGAAGGAUUUAGAUAAAAAUACAAGAAUUUGAGUUAAAUAAUUAAUUUUAUUUAAAAUAUAAAUUGAUUUGUGUUUUUUAUAAUAUUUAUUUUUUUGUUAAUAUAUAUAAUAUAAUAUACUAGGUAAAUUUUUAAAAAAUAUGUUAUGUUAUCUAUAUUUAAAACUUUAAUAAAAUAAAAAUAUUAAAUAUUAAAUUAAAAUUUAUUAGUGGGCUUAAAACAAGUUUAGACAAGCUUAAAUAAAAUUUAAACUCAUAUUUUAAACUUAAUUGGACUUAAGCAAAUAUAAAAUACAUUAAUAUCAUACAUAAAUCUAACCUAAUCAAUAAACACGGUCAAAACUUCAAUGACUUCAACUUAGUUAUUUAGAUUUGAAUCUCAUUAAAUGUGUAGAUGAUAUAUAAACUUUGUUUAGAUUUGUUCGAGCUUAAAUCGCAUAUCAUUUUUAUCUCAAUUAAAUCAACUUAGUUGAUUUCAAAAUUAGGACUACUGAGCGUUUUGUCUUUGAGGCAAUGGAAAAAAAAACCUCGAUAUAUAUAUAGUGAAAAAAGUGCCUAUUCACACGUAAGUUGGGAAAACAAGGAGAAAUGAUUUUGCAUGUUAAAGUUAAACGUAAAAGAAACAUUCAAAAAGAGAUGUUAUAUUUCAUUAUCAAACGUAUUUAAUAGAUUUGGAUUAAAGACAAAACUGCCAACCGUGCAUGAAGUAAGGAAUCCAACGACUACCUUCUUUUGAUCGAGAUUUUUUGAUGUGUAAAAGUCAUAUUAAAUCUUGAUAAAAUUUGAAAUUAAGAUAAAGAUGAAUAAGAAAGCUCUCAAAACUCUGUGUUUUUUUAUCUAUAAUAUUUAAAUUCUAAAGUUUAUUUAAAAAUAUUGGCAGUGAGGACUAUCUUAUCAUUUGUGUAUAAAUAAAAAUUUGAAUCAAGAAUAUAUAGUUUUUAAAGUAUAAAAAAAAUGAAUUAAUAGACGUGGCCAUUACCACUGAAUUGAUUCAGUGACGUGUUCCAUUCAUUUGUGGCACUGAUUAGUUGAUUUUUGUGGUUGAAAAUUUUUAAUUUAAACUUUAACUAAAAAUCAAGCACAUGGAUAAACAUUUUUCAUGUUGUGAGUCUGCUCUAUUUAGCAGGCUGUGUGUUUGCUCAAGGUAGCACGUUUCUAUUCUAUUUGGGUUUUUUAGGUUUUCGCAAUUUUUGUUUUCUCUCAUUUUGGGUAUAGGUAUUGGGUUUUAUUCGAGAAUAUUAUGGCUAUGGAGGAGGAGAUGGCAGGUUUGAAUAUUAAUGAUGGAAAAAAGGAGGUGCUGUCAUUGCAGAUUGAUGUUGGAUCCCAGACAGUGACAUAU